rnacentral:lncRNA from 1 species
UCGGUAUGUCUACAUACCAAUAUUAUACCCCUUUUAAUUAUUCUUAAUAUAACUUCAAGUAUAUUAAUUGAGUAGCUGUAAACAAAUAUCUCCGAAUAAAUAUGUUGGUAAUGAUGAGAUAAAUUAUUGUUUGAGGUCAUUAAUUUUGUGGGGGUAUAUUUAUAUAUGCAGGUUGGCAUGCAAAUGUGGAGAAGAACCCAGGGCUGGCAAUGGCUCCAGCGGUAGAAAAAGGCAUGAGCAAAUAGAUGAUGAUGAUGAUGAGACCACUGCAUUAAUAUCAUCUUUACAUGUAACACUUAAUUCCUUGGCUUUCCAUAAUUGGUUGAUUGUACGGCUUGCCAAUUGAAUUUCAAGUUAUGUAUGUUUGUGAUUGUCAAAUAUAUUAAUAAAAAGUGUUACUAUUCAUGUUAGAUCUUCAUGAAUAAGAAUGAGAAUCGAAAAUAACUUGUAAUAUUGUGUGUGCAUGUUUGGUAUUUAGGUGAAAUACUUAGAAAGAGAGGUUGGAUUAAAUUAAUUUUUUAUUAUCAAAAUGGAUGAUUUUAAUUUUUAUAUUAAUAAAAAGAAUUAAAUAAAAUUAAUAUUUAUUGUUUUAGAAAAUGACAUCAAAUUAUUGUUUUUUAUAGUUCAAUCCAAAUAAAAUAUCUACAAAAUCAUUAAAAACUUUUAAAAUGUGACUUUGUUAAAUAGUAAAUAGCAUUUUUUUAAAAGGGUUCAUAUAUAUCGUGAUACCUAAAGUUGGCAACUUCUACUUAGUAUCUAAAUCGGUACAUAAACUUGAAAAUUGUAAGUCAACUUCGUAUUUUUAUAAGUAUGAUGAUGUUGGUGUAGUGUGAGGAAGAAGACUUGAAUGGGUUUGAUUAUUUUUAAUAAUACAGGAAUUUACAUAUUAUAAGUAAAUAGACACUCACAUUCUUUAUGUAUUAUAAGGAAGAAGACUAAGUCGAUCUACUUUGUAAUCUCAUCAAUCUUAAUUUUCUCAAUUGUUAAGGGAGUUCAAAUGAAAUACAAAAUUUUGGUAAAAAAAAGUAUCCAAUUUUGUGAAUAAAAAAUAUAUGGUAAAAAAGAUUUGGUAUCGAUACUUCGGCGCGGGUAUCAAUACUCGAUACAUUGCUUUUGGUUGGAAAGUAGUGUCUGGAACGGCCAUGGGAUGUGUUGUUUUCCAAACCGGUAAGGCGAAAAGGUUUGUGAAUUUGGUUGAAGACCAACAUGAGAAGAGGCGAAGAAGAAAACCAAAAUAUAGCAAUCGCAUCAAUGGAUGAAGAAGGAUCUAGUUGGUGCAAAUGAAGUUAAAGCAUUUGUGCUGUGUCUUCAUAAUUUCUUGUUUAGUAGUCUGUCAGAAAGUUUUUCCUAUGGUGAAAAGUUGCAUUGGUAUGUGUCUGUCUUUAUGAUUGUACCAAUUCCUCUGUAUUUCAUUGCAUUUCGUACUAUUUGUAAGGGUUUAGUUCGAGUGUAACAUCUUGUAUGGUGCAACUAUGUAUGUCUUCUUUCUUGAUUAUUGAAAUUAUAAUCAAAAUUAAUACAUGUUCUUUUUAUUAGCUUAAGGGCGUAAAAACACUUCAAAAUUUUCAAAAAAUAAAAUAAAAUUUUAAGUCCCUCUUUUUUUUACACUCAAUUGAAAUUUUUAAAAUGUAUCAAAAAUAUCUUUACAGUUCUUCAAAAAAAAAAACAAUUAAACCCCUAUUUUUUUUCCGCUCAAUUGGGUACUUGAACUUUCAUAAUGCAUCAAAAAUGCCUUAAAUUUUUUUCAAAAAAGCAAUUAAGCCCCUACUCUUAUUAAAAAUUAGAAAAAAAUCAUAAAAAUAAUAAAUUUUAGAAAAAAUUAUUAAAUUUUAAUAAAAAUUUAAAAUUUUAUUAAAAAUUAGAAUUUUUUUUUAGAAAAAUCGUCAAAAAAUAAAAAAUUAUAAAAUCCAUCAAAAAGUUUUAACAAUUAACUUUAACUAUUGAUCGUUAAAGUUAACGACCUCUAGUUUUUUCAAUUAAAGUCAUUAUGUGUCGCAACUCAACGUGACAUGUAGCGAAAAUAGAUAAAAAAGUAAAAAUCAAUAAAAGUUAUAGAAAAAUUAUAAAAUAUUUCUUUUGGUAGAAUAAUUUUUAUAAAUUUUUUUUACAAAAUUUAUAUUUCUUUACAUUUUGUAUAAUUUUCUUAUAACUUUAUAAAAUUUUAUAAAUUUUUAUAUUUCUAUAUAUUUUAAAAUUUUUUAAAAUUUUUAUAAAAUUUUACAAUUUUUAUAUAUUUUUAAUAAAUUUUUAAUAUUUGAUUUUUUAUUAAAAUUUAAUAAUAUUAUAGAUUUUAUUGAUUUUAAUUUUUUAUCUAAUUUUUAAUAAAAUUAGGGGGUUAAUUGCUUUUUUUUUAAGUUUGAGGGUCUUUUUGAUGCAUUUUGAAAGUUCAAGUACCCAAUUGACUGCAAAACAAAAAGAAAAAAAGUAGGGGCUUAAUUGCUUUUUUUGAAAAUGUUUGAGGGCUUUUUUGAUGUAUUUUGAAAGUUCAAGUACCCAAAUGAGUGCAUAAAAAGAACAGGGGUUUAGUUGCUAUUUUGAAAAAGUUUGAGGGCUUUUUGCACCUUUAAACCUCUUUUCUUUUUCUAAAUUUAAUUUAGAACCAACUUUGUGUAAAGACUUGGGAAAUUUAAUUAGCAAAAUUUCUUUCCAUGUAAAAAUUUCCCCUAUUUCUUGUUUGAAUUUAAAGCAAUACAAUAUUUUUCUAGCAAAUAAUAGAAAAUGACAGUCAAUUAAUUCCAGCAAUACAACAUUUCCAGUCUGGUGGAAAACAGCUAGGGACCAAAUUUUUAAAGUGUUGUUUACUACACACUUAGGGACCAUAUAUGUAUAUAUAUAUAUUCCAGUCUGGGUCUUUGUCGUGUUUUGUUGGUUGGCUAUGGCCUUCUUGUUGUUUCAUGGCCACUGCCCGUGAAUUAAGUCAUAUGUGGCCUUGUUUGCUAGACCUUAGUUGCUAAGUUAAAGGGAGUGAAUAGAGCACCAUAUUUCUUCUUCUGCGUGGAAAAUAAGUUGGCAUUAUGCCAAAUUCCACAUUCAUACAUAGAAAGGAAGCAAGGCCAAGUCAUUAUACUUUGUAAUCUCAUCAAUUCUAAUUAUUUCACUUCUUCAUUCUUUAGGGAGUUCAAGUGAAAUACAAAUUUUUCCACAUCCAAUCUCAUAAAUAAUCCGUCUUUGAACUUUCACAAAAAAAUAUUAAAUACCCAUUCACUUUAAUUCUACUAUUCUUAAAUCAUUCAAGUUUUGUGGAAAAUAUGCUUCUUGGAUAAAAUUAUUCAACACACAUGCCUUGAAUUUUAUGCAAUAAAAUAAAUCAAUAUAGGCCACACAUGCUUUGAAUAUUUAAGUAGUCCACAAUUUUGUUCGUUUGUGUGCAAAAUUCUACAUUGCUUGACAGCCAUACAUUCUAAGUAAAUAGACACCCACAUUGUUUACGUAUUAUGAAGAAGAAGACUAAGUCAGUCUACUUUGUAAUCUCAUCAAUCUUAAUUUUCUCAGUUAUUUAGGGAGUUCAAAUGAAAUACAAAAUUUUGGGAAAAAAAAUGUAUCCAAUUUUGUGAAUGAAAAAUAUAUGGUAAAAAGGAUUUGGUAUGGAUACUUCGGCUCGGGUAUCAAUACUCAGGGUAAGUUUAUCGAUACAUUGCUUUUGGUUGGAAAGUGGUGUUGAUAGGUGAUGACUAAAAUUUGAUAAAUUUGAAAAGUACAUGAAAUUUAACGAUUAUUGUUUGGUGAUGACUAAAAUUUUAAAAUUUGAAAAGUACAUGAACUAAAAAUGACCAAAUUAAAGUAUAAAGAUUAAGUCCACAACUUUUGCAAAGUACAAGGACUAAUAGCAGAAAUUAACCUAAAUUUCAUAUGGGUCAAUUACAAAAAUAAUCACUAAACUAUUCCUUUGGUUCUAUUCUAGUCACUCAACUAUAGAGGUGCUCAUGGGCUGAGCCAGGUCAAGCCUAAGUAUGAUAUUAAUGUAUUUUAUACUUGCUCAAGCUUGGCUCGGCCUGAAAUAUGAGCUUAAAAUUUUGCCUGAACUCAUCCAUAUUUGCAAAAGACUAACCCAAGCUCAUUUUAAGCAUGCCUAUAUAAUUUUUAAUUUUUUUUAAAUAUUUAUAUUAUAUUAUAUUAAUUAAUAAUUUAAACAUUUUUUAUUUAUUAAAAUUUUUUAUAGUCAUUUUAACAUUAUUUUAAUGUUUACAUUAUAGUAUUAUUAUAUAUUUAGUAUAAGUAUUUUUUUAAUAUGUUCUAAUUUAUAUAAUAUAAAGUAUUAUACACUUAAAAACGGGCCGGGCUGGGCUUGAGCUUUAGUUGUUACUCAACUAUUAAUUUUUUCGAUUUAGUUGUUAACCUUUUCAAAAGUAAAUAUUUUAGUCAGUCUCCUAUUAGUUGUUGUUAAAUGAGUGACGGAAAGCUAAUGUGAGCUUUUUUUAUUAGUCUAAUAACAAAUUUAGCCCUCCAAUGUUUACACAUUCUAUCAAUUUGAUCGUAAAUAUAAAAAAAAAAUCAACAAAUUUAGCCCUGAAUAUUAACAAAACUUGUCAUUUUAGUUCAAAUUCUAAAAAAUUUAAUAAAUUUAACCUUUAAUAUUUUCAAAAAAAUAGCAAUUUAGUUCUAAUUCUAAAAAUUUUAAUAUAUAUAUUUAAAAAAAUAUUUCUAAUCCUCUGUCUCACCCUUUGAUUUUUUAGAUGAGCUAAAAUCAAAAUAUAUCAUUAUGUCUUUUUGUUUUAAUGCUAAAAGAGAUAAAAAAAAAUGGAAAGCUAAAAUGGCUUUUCGUUUGUGAAGUUACAAAAUGCCAAAUAAAUUAUUAUGUCUUUUUAGUUUUAAUUUUUUACUUGAUUAAAAGAGAAAUAAUUAACGAAUGAAAAAUAAUUAUUCACAAAUAAAUUUAUCAGAAUUUAUAACAAAUGAGAUUUUAAAUUUGAAUUUAUAAAUCAAAAUUUAUAUAUAUAUAUAUAUAAAAGAAAACACAUUUUUAUGAAAUAUAAGAUUUUGUUAAAAGAAAGAGCAUAUAAAAGCAUACACGUUUUUAUGAAAUACAAGAUUUUGCUAAAAGAAAAAGCAUCCAAUUUUAAGAAUGAAAAAUAUAUGGUAAAAGCAUCCAUAACUUUUCAAUAUAAAAGAAAAAAAAGACUAACACCAAUGUUGUGGUAUUAUUUGUUGCCUAUAAAUACCAUUCCUAUCCUUCUUCUUCCUCUACAAACAUAACAUGGCCCCCUAUCUCUUUCUCUGCCUAUUCCUCUUCUUUCCCCAUCUUUAUGCUUCUUUUCUUCUUCAGAAUCUCACUCCUGCUCUUCACUAAUCCAGUUUAAGGACUCUUUUUCCAUCACAAAGGAUGCUUCCUGGUAUUUCGAUUAUAUUACUGGCCUUAAAUCUUAUCCCAAGACAAAUUCAUGGAAGGAGGGUACAGAUUGCUGCUCAUGGGAUGGGGUCACUUGUGACCACCUAAAUGCUCAUGUUAUUGCCCUUGACUUGAGCUGCAGUUGGCUAUAUGGCACCUUCCCUUCCAAUACCACUCUCUUCCUUCUUCCUCACCUUCAAAAACUCAACCUUGCCUACAAUCAUUUUAAUUCUUCCAAAAUUCCAUCCGAGUUCGGUCGGUUUACAAGCCUAUUCUACCUCAACCUUUCCAAUACAUGGUUUUCAGAAGUCCCAUCCCAAGUCUCCCACCUGUCAAAAUUGGUUUCACUUGAUCUCUCCUCUCGGAUUGAUUACUCUGGGCAAGUUACAAUUGACAAACAUGCUCUGGAGGGACUUGUUCACAACCUAACCGAGGUCAGACAUCUGUUUUUGGAUGGAAUCAACAUGACUUCUGUUAAUGCUCAUGUCUUCAUGAAUCUAUCCUCUUCUCUAAGGUCUCUCAGUCUUGCUUUUUGUGAUUUGCAAGGAAAAUUCCCAAAAAACAUUUUUGAUUUGCAAAACCUCAAUCUCCUCAACUUGAGAUACAACCAAUUGAGUGGACAAAUUCCAAGAUCAUUGGGGAACCUCUUGCAACUCACUCAUUUACACUUGUCGGGGAACCAAUUGAGUGGACAAAUUCCAUUGUCAAUUCUAAACCUAACGCAGUUGGAAUACUUGGAAAUAUCUGAAAAUUCUUUAGAAGGUUCCAUUCCAGAUGAGGUAACCGCUUUUCCUAAUCUAAUAUAUUUAUACUUAUCUGACAAUUUACUCAAUGGAACACUUCCGUCAUGGUUGUAUACUGCUCCCUGCUUAAAGGAAAUAUAUCUCUCUCAAAAUCAAUUCAGUGGGCAUAUCAAAGAAUUCCAAACCAAAUCACUAGAAUAUUUAUAUCUAGAAAAUAAUAAACUCCAAGGUCCCCUUCCAUCUUCAAUAUUCCAACUUCUCAAUCUUACCGGGCUCCUUUUAUCCUCAAAUAAUCUUAGUGGUGUCAUAGAGUUGAGCAUGUUCUCAAACCUUCCAAAUCUCAAAUAUCUUGACCUUUCAUAUAACAGCCUAUCCUUAAUAUCUAAUACUACUUCUACUGUUAAUCAUAUAUUGCCUAAUCUUACAGGCUUACAUUUGUCAUCUUGCAAUCUUAGUGAAUUCCCCCAGUUUUUAAAAGGGCUUAAAAGUUUGGAAAGCUUAGACCUCUCUUGCAACAAAAUUGAAGGCAAGAUUCCACAGUGGAUGCAAGAGGUGGGGAAUGUCUCUUUGACUUACUUCAACGUAUCUCACAACUCUUUGACAGAAGUUGAGCACUUUCCAUGGAAGAAUAUUGAAAGUCUUGACUUAAGCUCCAAUUUGAUCAGUGGAAAUCUUCCGAUUCCAGCUUCGACCAUCAAUGUCUUUCUGAUCUCAAAUAAUAGUUUCAAUGGAGAGGUCUCUUCUUUAAUCUGCAAUGCCAGUGAUCUUGAAAUUCUUGAUUUGUCCCACAAUAACUUGAGUGGAACAAUUCCGCAAUGUUUUGGAAAUUUGAGCAACAGCCUUGAAUUCUUGAAUCUGAAGAAGAACAAGUUCUAUGGGACGAUUCCUCCAAAAUUUGCAAAGGGAUGCCGAUUGACUAAUUUCAACUUAAAUGGAAAUCUGUUAGAAGGGCCAUUGACUCCAUCCAUCCUUAAUUGUAGGGGUCUGGAAGUGCUAGAUCUUGGUAACAACAAGAUCAAUGAUACAUUUCCUCAUUGGUUGGGAAGUCUUCCACAGCUACAAGUUCUUGUAUUGAAGUCAAAUCAUAUGCAUGGUUCCUUAUGUGUCAAUAGCUCCAAGUCUAGCCCUUUUUUCUCUAAAAUCCAAAUUUUUGAUCUCUCAAGUAAUUAUUUUUCUGGACCCCUACCAGUGAGAUACAUCAACAGCUUCAAGGCUAUCAUAAAUCUAGAGAAGAUUGGUAGUACAGUGUCGUACAUGGGGGUGAAUGAUGGCUUCUAUACCUAUUCCAUUGGAAUUGUUAUAAAAGGACAAUAUAUGGAAUUGGUGAAAAUUUUCACCAUGUGGAUGAUCAUUGAUCUAUCAAACAAUCAGUUUGAAGGGGGUAUUCCAGAGGUUUUUGGGAAGCUUAACUUACUGAAAGGGCUCAACCUUUCUCAUAAUAACCUUAAUGGUGGUAUCCCCACCUUAAUAGGGAAUUUGACAAGUCUUGAAUGGUUGGACCUAUCUUCAAACAGGUUGUCUGGGACGAUUCCAAAUAGAUUGGCAGAUCUGCCAUUUCUUUCGUCCUUCAAUGUUUCUGAAAAUCAACUCCAUGGUCAGAUUCCUCAAGGCAAACAGUUCAACACAUUUGGAAAUGAUUCAUAUGAAGGAAACAAGGCAUUAUGUGGAUUUCCGGUCUCAAAAGGUUGCAACAUCAUUGAGCCAGCACCUCCAAAUGUGCUUGAAAAAGAUGGCUCAAAAUCAAACAUUACUUUUGGUUGGAAAGUGGUGUUGAUAGGUUAUGGAUGCGGAGUGGUGUUCGGAAUGUCCGUGGGAUAUGUUGUUUUCCAAACUGGUAAGCCGAAAUGGUUGGUGAAUUUGGUUGAAAUCCAACAUGAGAAGAAGCGAAGAAGAAAGUCAAAGGAUGGCAGUCGCAGCAAUGGACGAAGAAGAAUCUAGUUAGUGGAAAUGAUGUUCAAGUGUUGAUGUUGUAUCUUCAUAAUUUCUUGUUUUGAAGUCUGUCAAAUUUUUUUCCUAUCGUGAAAGGCUGCAUUGCCAUGCAUCUGUCUUUUUUAUUGUAACCAUUCAUCUAUAUUUCAUUGCAUUACGUAGUAUUUGUAAGGGUUUGUUUUAAAUGUAACAUUUUGUAUGGUUCAACUAUUUAUGUCUCUUUCAUGAGUUUCAUUUUUGAGUCUCAAUAAUCUCUGCAUUCAAGAUUUUGUCAGCUUAUUAAUUGGUGGAUCAAUAAUCUUCAUGCUCAUCUCAUCAUCUUUUUCUCGAGUUAAACACAGUCACUACUAUAAUAAUUUCUUCUGUGUGGAAAAUAAUUUGGCAUUCUGCAAAUUUCCACAAUGCUUGUGGAUUACCUCUGGUUGACGGCUAUACAUAUAAAGGAAGGAAACAAGACUAUGUCAAAAUUUCCAAAAAUCAGUCAUUCAUUUUUGAACAAUUAAACAUUCGUAUUCUAUUUUUCAAAAUUGUAAAUCCUCAAAUAAUGUAAAUUAGUCCUAAAACUCAAGUUUUGAAAUCUUUACAAUUUAACCCCUUAUAGUUUCAAACUUUACUAUUUUAUGCUCAACUUUCUAAAUCUUCAUAUUUCAUGAUCAUAUAAUUUAGUUAUUACAUCAAUAUUUCAGAUUUCACUACUCAAACCCUUACUUCAUUUUGGUCCUUACUUCAAUUUUAUCAAAUUAAAUCAUUUUUCAAUUUGAAUGCAUUGAUGUGAAAUUAAGGGACCACUAAACAAUGUUGAUGCGAGUUUAGGCAAAAUUGGUGGAUCCCAUCUCCACAGCAAUUUCUUUAUGGAAGUACUUGCUUUCACACUGCAAACUUGGAUAGUUUGUGGUGGACGAUGAUGAAUCAUUUCACAAUCAAACACACCAUUUUUAAACACAUAUAUUGAAAUCAUUAUUAAAAUUAUAAUCAAAAUUAAUACAAGUUCUUUUUAUUAGCUUAAGGGCGUAAAAACUCUUCAAAAUUUUCCAAAUAAAAAAUAAAAAAUUUAAGUCCCUCUUUUUUUUUUACACUCAAUUGAGUACUUAAACUUUUAAAAUGUAUCAAAAAUAUCUUAACACUUCUUCAAAAAAAGCAAUUAAACCCCCUUUUUUUUCCGCUCAAUUGGGUACUUGAAUUUUCAUAAUGCAUCAAAAAUACCUUAAUUUUUUUUUCAAAGAAACAAUUAAGCCUCUAUUUUUUUCCUACUCAACUAGGUACUUGAACUGUCAAAAAAACAAUUAAGCACCUACUCUUAUUAAAAAUUAGAAAAAAAAUCAUAAAAAUAAGAAAAAUUUAGAAAAAAUUAUUAAAUUUUAAUAAAAAUUUAAAAACUUAUUAAAAAUUAGAAAAAAUUUUAGAAAAAUUGUCAAAAAAUAAAAAAUUAUAAAAUUUUAUAAUUAAGCACUCUUAAAAUUUUGAAAAUUCUCAUUAAUCUCACACAAAUUUAAAAUUUUUUAUUAGACCCCCAAUUUUUUUUAAAAAUGUUAUUAAACCCUUAAAUUUUUAGAAAAUUUUACCUGCCCCCUCCCAAAAAAAAAACUAGUCCCAACUCUUAGGAUCCGCCAUUGGUACUUGGUAUUAACACUAUUAGAAAAUUGCUAAAUCAACCAAUGAAAAUUUGACACAUGGAACCCUUUUUUUAAAUUAUCAAGUUACGGAUGUUCUUCAAGGGCAUGGAACUCAACUUGAAAAUUUUACUAAUUUGGUUGCAAAAAACAUUGAGGAAGCAUAUAAUGAUCUAACCCUUUUUUGUUUUGUUCUGUUUUUAAUUUGUUAUGGGAUUCUAUUGAAUGAUAAUUUUUUUUAUUUCCCAUACUUGGUUCUUCAACAACAACAUAUUCGAGAUUUUAUUUUUCUAGAAUUUUUAUAUAAAAGUUUGUAUUUUUUAAAAUAAUUUUGAGUUUUUUAUAAUUUUUAUAUAGAAUCGAGGUAAAUUGGCAAAAAAUUAUAAAAAACAAAAUACUAAAAUUGUUUAGUUAAGUGACCAAAGCGAAGAUCUACCCAUAGUUCAGUGGCUAAUUAUGUAGUUUACCCUUUCAUAAUUAAAAAAAUAGUUGUUCAGUUUUUCUUGUAUUAGAUAACAUUUUAGAUGGUAAAAACCCUCUUUAGUCCCUCUCAAUUUUGAUAUUAAGUAAAUUGGUCCAUUUUUUUUUAAAAAAAUCAAAGCAAUUUAAUCUUUGUUAAUUUCGAAAGUGAGCAACUAAGGACAAUUAAUCACAAUGUCAAUAUUUUCCAUCAAUUGUACAUAUUUUUAUUGGUAUAAUAACAAAUUUAGCUCUCCAAGUUUACACAUUCUAUCAAUUUGUUUUGAUUUAACAAAUUUAGCCCGCAACAGUUACAUAUUCUAUUAACAUUUACACAUAAUAUAUAAACAUCGAGAGCUUAAUUUGUUAUUAUAUAAAUAAAAUUAUGUACAAUUUACAGAAAGCAUUAACACAAUAAUUAAUUGUCCUUAGUUGCUCCAUUUCAAAAUUGAUAAUGAUUAAAUUGCUCUAAUUUUCUGAGAGAAACCAAUUUCUUCAAUAUAGAAAUUGAGAGGGACGAGAAAUGUGUUUUUAUCCAUUUUAGAUACUAACAAGUGUUUGGCGUAGUGGCAAGGCAUAUUACAUUCUCAAGGAGAGAAUGCGUAUUCAAACGUUGGAGAUAAUAAUAUUGUGUGGGGUAUCCACGGAUCUCGAACACAGACUGUAAAACAUAUAUAAAAAAUAAAAAGAAUAACAUCUUAAUUUAAAUAAUUAAUAAAUUUUAAUUUCAAAAAAGUAUUUUGAGAAACAUAGGUUUUAGUAAAUAGUAAAAUUGAAUCGAUAAAACAUGUCCAGUAUAUCAGAAUCAUAAAAAUACAACUUAAUUAAUUUGAAUUUAAACUUAACUCGACUCAAUUUGAUUAUAAAAAACUGAUAAUUUGAAUCCAAAAUGACAUGAUCUUGAAAUGAUUUGAAUUAAUUGUCAAACCCAAACGACAAAACUCGAAAUGAUGCAAUCCAAAAACACAAGUCAAAUGAACUAAACUAUGAAAGAAAAAAAAAACCUUACACCGACUCAAAUCCAAAAUAAUUUAAUCCUAAAAUAACCCAAAUUUUAUAUAAUAUAAACUCGAAAUAACCCGAUAAUUUUUUUCAGUCUUACUGUGUUUAUCUUUAUAAGUAUUCUUGUUUUCCUUGCCCAUACAUGUAUUGUAGUUAUCAAAAAAUAUAUUCUACUUUGGAUUUUAUUUAUAUUAAAUUUUAGGUUAAAUUCCGCUAUUACUCUCUGUACUUUAUGAAAAUGAUGGAUUUAAUCAUUGUACGUUAAUUUAAUCAAUUUUAGUCUUUGUAUUUUUUGAAUUGGUCAAUUUUAAACCAUUUACUUUUUGAAUUUUGAAAUUUUAGUCUUGAUUCAAAUAAUAUUAAUAAUAAUAAAAUCUGCUUAUUUAAAUUUAAUUAUUAGUUUUGUACUAUGUAGACAAUUAUAGAUUUAAUCCAUAUUUUUCAAUUGGGUCAUUCCAAGUCUUUAUACUUUUCAAAUUUUAAAAUUUCAAUAUUGAUGCAGAAUGCGAGUUGCUAUUAAUUAAUUGAUUUUUUUAGCCAAUGCAUGUAGAAAUAAUAAGUUGUUAUGUCAUUAUACUUAAAAUAAUAUAUUGGUUUAACCCGCUUAAAUUAUGUCUUUUUUUCCAUCUUGGGACCUAAAUUUUUUUGGGGUCAUAAGUGGUACCUAAACUACUUUUUUUUCUCCUUCAAAUUAGGGCUCCUUUGGAUCACCAGCAAGUUUCAGUGUGGUGAGAUUUAAAGAGUAAAAAAAAUUUGAACUGAAACGCAGCUCUAUUUGGGGUGUUUGGCAAGCACACCAGUAAGCAUUUUUCACCUCACUGUAACCCAAAAUAUUGGCUGGAGUUAAAAGCUUCAGUGGACUGAUUUGGAAGUCCAAAAAUAAGAGUAAUUAUUAUUUUACCCCUCCAAUUCUUCCUUUAUUAUUUAUUUUAUUUAAAACAGAUAACAUAAGUUUAAUAUGUCAUUAUUUAAUAUUAUUUAAUUUACAAUAAAAUUAUAAUUUUUAUUUAUAAAUUUAGUAUAAAUACAAUUUAAUUUAUAUUUUAUUAUUUGAUUCAAAUAUAAUCUGUAAAAAUAUUUUGAUAUUUUAUUAUGAAUAUAAUUUAAAAAUAUUUUAUUGUAUAUUUAAAAUAUUUUGAUAUUUUAUUAUGAAUAUAAUCUGUAAAAUAUUUUGAUAUUUUUGAAUUUUUCUCUAGUUUUAAUUUAUUUUUAAUUAUUUAUUAUUAAAAAUAAAUAUAAUUGUAAUAAUUUUUAAUUAUUUAUUAAUUUUGUAAUUGUUAAAUAAUUUUAAAAACUUCUAUUAUAUAUAUUUUUAAUCUAAUGUCCUUAAAAGUCAUUUUCUAUUUUCACCUCACCGCUACAACUGCGUUUGAAUCCAAACACACACUCCACCGCUGUUUCUAAUCUCACCGCUACAGUAUCCAAUCUCACCGCUACAGUACCUAAUCUCACCGCCACCGCUGUUUUUAACCUUACCGGAACUAAACACACCGCCCAUCCAAACCCACCCUUAGUAUAUUCAUUAGUUAAACUGUUAAGUCUAUUUAAAAAAGAAAGACUCGGACAACAAAUUAAUACUUAAACAAUGCUCUUUUUCCCAAGGUACCUAAUUUUUAUUUUGGCCAUGAGUAUUACUAAAACUAUUAUUCCAUUACUCAUUUUACACCAAAAUGUUAUAUCGGCUGAAAAGAUUCCAACAAAUAAUAGAUUGUAUGUCAUAUAAACUUUUAAAAAUAAUUAUUAAUUAAUUUUUUUCAUAUAAACUGAACGGUUUGACUAAUGACGGAGGUACCAAAUUAUAGUCUAGGUACCAAUUUAUGGGUUAAGCCUAUUUCUAAAAUAGACUUUUGACUAAUGGCGGUAGUAACUUGGGAAAAAAAAGUAGUUUAUGUACCACUUGUGAACAAAAAUAAGUUUAGGUACCAACAUCGUAAAAUGAGUAUAAUUUAGAUACCGAUUUAUGAGUUAAGCCUAAUAUAUUUGUUGCAUCAUUUUUUUGAAAAUAACAGAACUUAAUAAAUUUAACGGUUAUUUUUUGGUGAUGACUAAAAUUUUAAAAUUUGAAAAGUACAUGAACUAAAAAUGACCAAAUUAAAGUAUAAAGAUUAAGUCCACAACUUUUACAAAGUACAAGGAGUAAUAGCAGAAAUUAACCUAAAUUUCAUAUGGGUCACUUACAAAAAUAAUCACUAAACUAUUCCUUUGGUUCUAUUCUAGUCACUCAACUAUAAAGGUGCUCAUGAGCCGGGCCAGGUCAGGCCUAAGCAUGAUAUUAACGUACCUUAUGCUUGCUCAAGCUUGGCUCGGCCCGAAAUAUGAGCUUAAAAUUUCGCCUAAACUCAUCCAUAUUUGCAAAAGACUAACCUAAGCUCAUUUUAGGCAUGCCCAUAUAAUUUUUAGUUUUUUUUUAAUAUUUAUAUUAUAUUAUAUUAAUAAUUAAUAAUUUAAACUUUUUUUAUUUAUUGAAACUUUUUAUAUAGUCAUUUUAACAUUAUUUUAAUGUUUACAUUAUAGUAUUAUUAUAUAUUUAGUAUAAGUUUAUUUUGUUAAUCUAUUCUAAACUAUAUAAUAUAAAGUAUCAUACACUUAAAAAUAGGCCGAGCUGGGCUUGAGCUUUGAAUGUUCAAGCCUGAACUCAGCCCAAAUUUUAAACGGGCCUAAUUUUUUUACCCAAACCCAAUUUUUGGGCCUAAUAUUUUUAUCCAGACCCUCCCAAAUUUUGGGCAGCCCUUGGGCCUUGGCAAGUAGCCCAACUCAUUAACAAGUUUACUCAACUAUUAAUUUUUUCGAUUUAGUUGUUAACCUUUUCGAAAGUAAAUAUUUUAGUCACUCUCCUGUUAGGUGUUGUUAAAUGAGUGAUGGAAAGCUAAUGUGGGCUUUUUUUAUUAGUCUAAAAACAAAUUUUGCCCUCUAAUGUUUACACUUCUAUCAAUUUGAUCCUAGAUAUAAAAAAAAAUCAAAAAAUUUAGCCCUGAAUAUUAUCAAAAAUUAGCGAUUUAGUUCUAAUUCUAAAAAUUUUAAUAUAUACAUAUAUUUAAAAAAAUAUUUUUAAUCCUCUGUCUCACCCUUUGAUUUUUUUAGAGAUAUUCAAAAAUUAAAAUAUAUCAUUAUGUCUUUUCGUUUUAAUGCUAAAAGAGAUAAAAAAAAUAGAAAGCUAAAAUGACUUUUCAUUUGUAAAGUUAAAAAAUACUAAAUAAAUCAUUAUAUCUUUUUAGUUUUAAUUUUUUACUUGAUUAAAAGAGAAAUAAUUAACGAAUGAAAAAUAAUUAUUCCCAAAUAAAUUUAUAAGAAAUGAGAUUUUGCUAAAAGAAAAAGCAUGUAAAAGUAUACACGUUCUUAUGAAAUACAAAGAUUUUGCUAAAAGAAAAAGUAUCCAAUUUUAAGAAUGAAAAAUAUAUGGUAAAAGGAAGACUAAGUGGUUGUUGAAAAAUACAAAAAUUUUGAAAAUCUAAUAUCCAUAACUUUUCAAUGUAAAAGAAAAAAAUGACUGUAACACCAAUGUUGUGGUAUUAUUUGUUGCCUAUAAGUACCAUUCCUAUCCUUCAUCUUCCUCUACCAACAUAACAUGGCCUCCUAUCUCUUUCUGUCCCUGUUCCUCUUCUUUCCCCAUCUUUAUGCUUCUUUUUCUUCUUCAGGAUCUCACUCCUGCUCUUCACUAAUCCAGUUCAAGAACUCUUUUUCCAUCACAGAGUAUGCUUCUUAUCAUUGCAAUGAGAUUGCUGGCCUUCAAUCUUAUCCCAAGACAAAUUCAUGGAAGGAGGGUACAGAUUGCUGCUCAUGGGAUGGGGUCACUUGUGACCACCUAAAUGCUCAUGUUAUUGCCCUUGACUUGAGCUGCAGUUGGCUAUAUGGCAACUUCCCUUCCAAUUCCACUCUCUUCCUUCUUCCUCACCUUCAAAAACUCAACCUUGCCUACAAUCAUUUUAAUCGUUCCAAAAUGCCAUCCGAGUUCGGUCGGUUUACAAGCCUACUCUACCUCGACCUUUCCAGUACAGGGUUUGCAGGAGAAGUCCCAUCCCAAGUCUCCCACUUGUCAAAAUUGGUUUCACUUAAUCUUUCUUGGAUUGGACAACAAUUAACAAUUGACAAACAUGCUCUGGAGGGACUUGUUCACAACCUAACCGAGGUCAGGUAUCUGUUUUUGGAUGGAAUCAACAUGGCUUCUGUUAAUGCUCAAGUCUUUAUGAAUCUAUCCUCUUCUCUAAGGUCUCUCAGUCUUUCUGGUUGUGAUUUGCAAGGAAAAUUCCCAAAAAACAUUUUUGAUUUGCCAAACCUCAAUCUCCUCAACUUUGGAGACAACCAAUUGAGUGGACAAAUUCCAAGAUUAUUGGGGAACCUCUUGCAACUCACUUCUUUAGACUUGUCGUUGAACCAAUUGAGUGGACAAAUUCCAUUGUCAAUUCUAAACCUAACGCAGCUGGAAUUUUUGGCAAUAUCUGAAAAUUUAUUAGAAGGUUCCAUUCCAGAUGAAGUAACCGCUUUUCCUAACCUAAAAUUUUUAUACUUAGAUAACAAUUUACUCAGUGGAACACUUCCGUCAUGGUUGUAUACUGCUCCCUCAUUAGACAGUAUAGGUCUCUCUCAAAAUCAAUUCAGUGGGCAUAUCAAAGAAUUCCAAUCCAAAUCACUAGAAUGGAUAGCGUUAGAGAAUAAUAAACUCCAAGGUCCUCUUCCAUCUUCAAUAUUCCAACUUCUCAAUCUUACCCGCCUCUUUUUAUCCUCAAAUAAUCUUAGUGGUGUCAUAGAGUUUCGCAUGUUCUCAAACCUUCCAAAUCUCGACCUUCUUGACCUUUCAUAUAACAGCCUAUCCUUAACAUCUAAUACUACUUCUACUGUUAAUCAUAUAUUGCCUAAUCUUACAAUGUUAUUUUUGUCAUCUUGCAAUCUUAGUGAAUUCCCCCAAUUUUUGAAAGGGCUUAAAAGGUUGGAAAUGUUAGACCUCUCUUGCAACAAACUUCAAGGCAAGAUUCCACAGUGGAUGCAAGAGGUGGGGAAUGUCUCUUUGACUUUCUUAAACGUAUCUCACAACUCUUUGACAGAAGUUGAGCACUUUCCGUGGAAUAAUAUUGCAGUUCUGGACUUAAGCUCCAAUUUGAUCCGUGGAAAUCUUCCGAUUCCAGCUUCGAAGAUCAAUGUCUUUCUGAUCUCAAAUAAUAGUUUCAAUGGAGAGGUCUCUUCUUUAAUCUGCAAUGCCAGUGAUCUUGAAAUUCUUGAUUUGUCCCACAAUAACUUGAGUGGAACAAUUCCGCAAUGUUUUGGAAAUUUGAGCAACAGCCUUGAAUUCUUGAAUCUGAAGAAGAACAAGUUCUAUGGGACGAUUCCUCCAACAUUUGCAGAGGGAUGCCAAUUGAGUAAUUUCAACUUAAAUGGAAAUCUGUUAGAAGGGCCUUUGACACCAUCCAUCCUUAAUUGUAAUGAUCUGGAAGUGCUAGAUCUUGGUAACAACAAGAUCAAUGAUACAUUUCCUCAUUGGUUGGGAAGUCUUCCACAGCUACAAGUUCUUGUAUUGAAGUCAAAUCAUAUGCAUGGUUCCUUGCGUGUCAAUAGCUCCAAGUCUAGCCCUUUUUUCUCUAAAAUCCAAAUUUUUGAUCUCUCAAGUAAUUAUUUUUCUGGACCCCUACCAGUGAGAUACAUCAACAGCUUCAAGGCUAUCAUAAAUCUAGAGAAGAUUGGUAGUACAGUGUCGUACAUGGGGGUGAAUGAUGGCUUCUAUACCUAUUCCAUUGGAAUUGUUAUAAAAGGACAAUAUAUGGAAUUGGUGAAAAUUUUCACCGUGUGGAUGAUCAUUGAUCUAUCAAACAAUCAGUUUGAAGGGGGUAUUCCAGAGGUUUUUGGGAAGCUUAACUUACUGAAAGGGCUCAACCUUUCUCAUAAUAACCUUAAUGGUGGUAUCCCUACCUCAAUAGGGAAUUUGACAAGUCUUGAAUGGUUGGACCUAUCUUCAAACAGGUUGUCUGGGACGAUUCCAAAUAGAUUGGCAGAUCUGCCAUUUCUUUCGUCCUUCAAUGUUUCUGAAAAUCAACUCCAUGGUCAGAUUCCUCAAGGCAAACAGUUCAACACAUUUGGAAAUGAUUCAUAUGAAGGAAACAAAGGAUUAUGUGGAUUUACGGUCUCGAAAGGUUGAAACAUCAUUGAGCCAGCACCUCCAAAUGUGCUUGAAAAAGAUGGCUCAAAAUCAAACAUUACUUUUGGUUGGAAAGUGGUGUUGAUAGGUUAUGGAUGCGGAGUGGUGUUCGGAAUGUCCGUGGGAUAUGUUGUUUUCCAAACUGGUAAGCCGAAAUGGUUGGUGAAUUUGGUUGAAAUCCAACAUGAGAAGAAGCGAAGAAGAAAGUCAAAGGAUGGCAGUCGCAGAAAUGGACGAAGAAGGAUCUAGUUAGUGGAAAUGAUGUUCAAGUGUUGAUGUUGUAUCUUCAUAAUUUCUUGUUUUGAAGUCUUUCAAUUUUUUUCCUAUGGUGAAAGGUUGCAUUGGCAUGCAUCUGUCUUUGUUAUUGUGACAAUUCAUCUAUAUUUCAUUGCAUUACGUGGUAUUUGUAAGGGUUUGUUUUAAAUGUAACAUUUUGUAUGGUUCAACUAUUUAUGUCUUCUUUCAUGACUUUUAUUUUUGAGUCUCAAUAAUCUCUGCAUUCAAGAUUUUGUCAGCUUAUUAAUUGGUGGAUCAAUAAUCUUCAUGCUCAUCUCAUCAUCUUUUUCUCGAGUUAAACACAGCCAAUACUAUAACAAUUUCUUCUGUGUGGAAAAUAAUUUGGCAUUCUGCAAAUUUCCACAAUGCUUGUGGAUUGCCUUUGGUUGACAGCUAUACAUAUAAAGGAAGGAAACAAGACCAUGUCAAAAUUUCCAAAAAUUAGUCAUUCAUUUUUUAAAAUUGUAAAUUCUCAAGUAAUGUAAAUUAGUCCUAAAACUCAAGUUUUGAAAUCUUUACAAUUUAACCCCUUACUAUUUUAUGCUCAACUUUCUAAAUCUUCAUAUUUCAUGAUCAUAUAAUUUAGUUACUACAUCAAUAUUUGAGAUUUCACUACUCAAACCCUUACUUCAUUUUGGUCCUUACUUCAAUUUUAUCAAAUUAAAUCAUUUUUCAAUUUGAAUGCAUUGAUGUGAAAUUGAGGGAGCACUAAACAAUGUUGAUGCGAGUUUAGGCAAAAUUGGUGGAUCCCAUCUCCUUAGUAAUUUCUUUAUGGAAGUAGCUGCUUUCACACUGCAAACUUGGAUAAUUUGUGGUGGACGAUGAUGAAUGAUUUGACAAUCAAACACAUAAUUUUUAAACACAAAAUUAACGAUAUAUUGAAAUCAUUAUUGAAAUUAUAAUCAAAAUUAAUACAUGUUUUUUUUAUUUGCUUAAGGUGUAAAAACCCUUCAAAAUUUUCAAAAAUAAAAAUAAAAAUUUAAGUCCCUCUUUUUUUUUUUAACACUCAAUUGAGCACUUAAACUUUUAAAAUGUGUCAAAAAUAUCUUUACACUUCUUCAAAAAAAGCGAUUAAACUCUUUUUUUUUUCGCUCAAUUGGGUGCUUGAACUUUCAUAAUGCAUCAAAAAGACCUUUUUUUUUCAAAGAAACAAUUAAGCCUCUAUUUUUUUCCCACUCAAUUGGGUACUUGAACUUUCAUAAUGCAUCAAAAAGCAAUUAAGGCCUUUUUCAUGCAUUAUGAAAGUUCAAGUACCGAAUUGAGUGCAAGAAAAAAAAAGUAGGGGCUUAAUUGCUUUUUUUGAAAAUGUUUGAGGGCCUUUUUGAUGUAUUUUGAAAGUUCAAGUACCCAAAUGAGUGCAUAAAAAGAACAGGGGUUCAAUUGCCAUUUUUGAAAAAGUUUGAGGGCUUUUUGCACCCUUAAACCUCUUUUCUUUUUCUAAAUUUAAUUUAGAACCAACUUUGAGUAAAGACUUGGGAAAUUUAAUUACCAAAAUUUCUUUCCAUGCAAAAAUUUCCCCUAUUUCUUGUUUGAAUUUAAAGCAAUACAAUAUUUUUCUAGCUAGUAAUAGAAAAUGACAGUCAAUUCAUUCCAAGCAAUGCAAAAUUUCCAGUCUGGUGGAAAAUUUGUUUCUUAGAUACUAUUAUUCAACUUUUAAGGCAUAAGUUUGAAUAUAGGGACUACAUUUUUAAAGUGUUGUUUACUACACACUUAGGGACCAUAUAUGUGUAUAUAUAUAUAUAUAUAUUCCAGUCUGGGUCUUUGUCGUGUUUUGUUGGUUGGCUAUGGCCUUGUUGCUGUUUCCACUGUCUGUGGUCUUUGUUUCUAAGUCAUAUGUGGCCUUGUUUGCUACAACUUAGUUGCUAAGUUAAAGGGAGUUAAUAGAGCACCAUUUUCUUCUUUUGCGUGGAAAAUAAGUUGGCGUUAUGCCAAUUUCCACAUUCAUACAUAUAAUGGAAGCAAGAGCAAGUCAAUAUACUUUGUAAUCUCAUCACUUCUUCUUCUUUCUUUGGGGAGUUCAAAUGAAAUACAAAUUUUGAGUAAAUCAACUAUUCAUUGACGGUACAAACGAGUUAAAAUUUCCAGCAUUCAUGUCUUUGUUUUCCCUCAAGUAAACGUAGUCAAUACUGCAAAUGGUGUGGAAGUAUUGUACAUUGUGGCCCAAAUGUCCAAAAUUUCCCCAUUGCUUGUAAAUGAAAUUUGGGUGAGAGAGAUGGGAGGAAGCAACAGCAAGUGUGAAGUCAAUAGACAAUUGACAGUCUUUAUUCUUUUGUGUGGAAAAUUAUUUGGGACCAAACUUGACUUGUUAUAAGGAAGAAGACUUUGUAAUCUCAUAAAUGUUAAUUAUUUUACUUCUUUGGUAAAAAAAAAAGUAAUCAAUUUUAUGAAUGAAAAAUAUAUGGUAAAGAGGAAGUAGUUGUUGAUCACUAAUAACAUGAUGAUUGUGGAAAUACAAAAAUUCCCGUAUAUGUGUUGAAUUCUGCAUAAUGUAAAUGUCCCGCAUUGCAUGUGAAUUCUGCAAUAAACUAAACUUUACGUGUUAUAGUUCUUUAAACCGAGUUAAUGAAAAGUAACCAUUCUUAUCAAAAUUAGUUAUACUCCUAAUUUAUAACAAAGGAAAUAAUAAUUUGAGUUUAACUCAAAGGUUAAUAUGUCAUCAAUGGGCGAUGGCGUGGUGCUACCAUGUCAGCGAUUAUUUUCUUCUUUGAGUUAAGGUGAUUUCACCAAUUUUAGGUUACUUUUUUACUUCAAUUUAGGUUUAUGCUUAUUAGCUUCGAAGAUUCUAAGUGGGUGCCACAAUCAAAGGGUGAGUAAAAAGGGUUAAAAAUGAUUUUUUUUAAAAAAUAUUUUUAUUUUUUUAUUAAAAAUUUAGAAUUAGAAUUAGACAAAUUUUGUAAAUGUUAAGGCUAACUUUAUUGAAUUUUUUUUUUCAGAAUUUGAACUAAAAUGACAAAUUUUGUAAAAAGCACUAAAUUUGUUGAAUUUUUUACAUUUAGGAUCAAAUUGAUAGAAUGUGUAAAUAUUAGAGGUUAAAUUUGUUAUUAGAUGAAUAAAAAAAACCCACAUCAACUUUCCAUCACUCAUCUAACGACAACUAAAGGGAGAGUGAUUAAAAUAUUUAAUUUCAAAAAGUUUAGCAACUAAAUUGGAAAAUUUAAUAGUUGGGUGACUAUUUUUAUAGUUUACAAUUUUUUUGGUCACCUGACUAUUAAGUGACACGUUUUAGUUGGUAUAAUAAUAAUUUUAGUCCUCAAUUUUUAUACUUUCUGUCAAUUUAACUCUAAUUAUAUAAAAUGAUUACAAAAGUGAAAUUCUUUUUAAAUUUUACAAAAUUCUAAAAAUUAAAUGAAAGUAGAUAAAAAUUUCAAAUAUAAAUAAAGUGAGAGAAAAUGAGGAAAAUAUUAUUUUUAAACCCUCCAAAUUUUAUUUGUAUUAUCUGUAAAGCAAUAUCUAAUAUCCAUUCUUUUAGAAAACAUAGAAAAAGGUAAAAAAAAGCUUAAGUAAAAUUAUCUGUAUAUAAUCUGCUUUUAUAAUUUGGGUUUUUAAAAAUAAAUUUAAAUGAAUUGAAAAUUUGAAUUGAGUUUGAAAAAGAAAAUUUUGUGGUAUAUUUUAUAUUUUUGCUAGAAAAAUAGCAUCAAAGUCGAUUUCGUAAGCUUUUGUAAUAUCAGUUACGGAUGUUCUUCAAGGGCAUAGAACUCAACUUGAAAAUUUUACUAAUUUGGUUACAAAAAAACAUUGAGGAAGCAUAUAAUGAUCUAACUUUUUUUUUCUGUUUUUAAUUUGUUAUGGGAUUCUAUUGAAUGAUAAUUUUUUUUAUUUCCCGUAUUUAGUUCUUCAACAACAACAUAUUCGAGAUUUUAUUUUUCUAGAAUUUUUACAUAAAAGUAAAGUUUGUAUUUUUUAAAAUAAUUUUGAGUUUUUUAUAAUUUUUAUAUAGAAUCGAGGUAAAUUGGCAAAAAAAUUAUAAAAACAAAAUACUAAAAUUGUUUAGUUAAGUGACCAAAACGAAAAUCUACCCAUAGUUCAGUGACUAAUUAUGUAGUUUACCCUUCAUAAUUAAAAAAAUAGCUGUUAAGUUUUUCUUGUAUUAGAUAACAUUUUAGAUGGUAAAAACCCUCUUUAGUCCCUCUCAAUUUUGAUAUUAAGUAAAUUGAUCCAUUUUAAAAAAAAAAUCAAAGCAAUUUAAUCUUUGUUAAUUUCGAAAGUGAACAACUAAAGAUAAUUAAUCACAAUGUCAAUAUUUUCCAUCAAUUGUACAUAUUUUUAUUGGUAUAAUAACAAAUUUAGCUCUCGAAGUUUACACAUUCUGUCAAUUUGGUCUUGAUUUAACAAAUUUAGCCCGCAACAAUUACAUAUUCUAUUAACAUUUACACAUAAUAUAUAAACAUCGAGAGCUUAAUUUGUUAUUAUAUCUGUAAUACCCAAAUUUUGCCCGGCCCAAGCCCAAGUAUCAAAACCCAAAUAAAAAAUAUACAUAAUAAAAGUCCAAUAACAUCAGUCCAGAUUACAAACCAAAUAAAUUAAGCCCAAACUCGAUUACAAAGUCCAAAUUCCCAAGCACAAACUGUUAACCCAACACUCCAGCCCCAAAUUAUUAGCCCAAAAUCAAACCCACUAAGCCUAAUCAGCCAACCCUAACCCGAACGGCCUACAUACCUAGCCCUAAAACAUUUUCAAAAAAACCUAAAGCAACUAUUUGCCUCAGCCGCCGCAACAGUAGCCUCCCACACGCGCGCCUCUCAUUAUCUUGAAGUAUCUUUUUGAAAUUGAUUAUUAAUUUAUGGGGUGCUUAAUUAUUGAUAUUAGUAUUUGUAUGAUAUGACUAAAAUAAUUAUUGUUAUUUGCAUUUACCUAUUAUUUGUUUGUCUUCUUAAUGUAUGUUUGGGUUGUUAUUUAUCCUUUUCGUUAUGUAUUGCUAUUCAAUCAUGUUUCAUUUGUAAGAAUUGUAUUUUUAAAGCACAACAGAUCAUUCUAUUUCAUAAUUUUCAAAAAGGCCUGAUGUUCAUAGCUCUCGAGAGAAUUGUGCCCUAACUUACUGGGCUUCAAUUCUUCUCGAUGAAUUUGAAUAGCCAAGUGUUUAUUGUAUUAAAACCACACAACUUUUAAAAUAAAGUUUUCAAGAUUUUAAAUUGUUGGAUCCUAACUUACUGGAUGUGGCAUUUUGUUAUCCCAAUUUUAAAAUAAAGGCAAUGUUUGACGUUUAAGAACUUCGAGAAAUCGAAACCUAACUUACUGGAUUCUGAUUUCUCAUUUGACUUAAAUGACCGAAUAGCCUUCUCAAAAUGCAUGAAUUUUAAAAUUUGAAAAUUAAAAAGACAUACUUAAUUUUGACGAUUGAAUCGUUGCACUCUAACUUACUGAGUGUGGCAAUUUAUUUCUUUGAAAUGAGUGUGUUUUAUUAUUCAAAUUUAAACUUUAAAAGGAUCGUAUUUUUCGACACUAAGACAUUAAACAAUCGAUUCGGUACCAAUUUUGGGCGUUACGAGGGUACUAACCCUUCCUCGUGCGUAACCGACUCCCGAACCUAUUUUCUCAAAAUUCGUAGACCUAAAAUUAUUUUCAAGGUGAUCCGGUCACACCUCAACAAAAGAUCGGUGGCGACUCCCAUUUUCAUUUUCAAAGUCGAUUCCCAUUUUUAAAACAUAAAAAAUGGUUUCGGCAAUAUCAAUAAAAAUUAUGUACAAUUUACAGAAAGCAUUAACACAAUGAUUAAUUGUCCUUAGUUGCUCCCUUUCAAAAUUAAUAAUGAUUAAAUUGCUCUAAUUUUCUGAGAGGAACCAAUUUGUUCAAUAUAGAAAUUGAGAGGGACGAGAAAUGUGUUUUUAUCCAUUUUAGAUACCAACAAGUGUUUGGCGUAGUGGCAAGGCAUAUUACAUUCUCAAGGAGAGAAUGCGUAUUCAAACGUUGGAGAUAACAAUGUUGUGUGGGGUAUCCACGGAUUUGAACACGGACUAUAAAACAUAUAUAAAGAAUAAAAAGAAUAACAUCUUAAUUUAAAUAAUUAAUAAAUUUUAAUUUGAAAAAAGUAUUUUGAGAAACAUAAGUUUUAGUAAGUAGUAAAAUUGAAUCGAUAAAACAUGUCCAUUAUAUCAGAAUCAUAAAAAUACAACUUAAUUAAUUUGAAUUUAAACUUAACUCAACUCGAUUUUGAUUAUAAAGAACUGAUAAUUUGAAUCCAAAAUGACAUGAUCUUGAAAUGAUUUGAAUUAAUUGUCAAACCUGAACGACAAGACUCGAAAUGAUGCAAUCCAAAAACACAAAUAAAAUGAACUAAACUAUGAAAGAAAAAAAAAACCUUACACCGACUCAAAUCCAAAAUAAUUUAAUCAUAAAAUAACCCAAAUUUUAUAUAAUAUAAACUCGAAAUAACCCAAAAAUUUUUAAAUUAAAAUUGACCCGACCCAAAUUCACACCACCUAAAAUCAAUCGUAACCACCUAAUUAAAAAGCAUGAAAUGAAAUGAUGUAAAGAGAAAAUUAGAGAAAACCAAAUAGAAAGUAACAAGCUUUUUUCAGAAUUGAAAGCAAAUUCCGUACAUUCACGACAUGCAUAAAACAACAAUGGUUUAUAGAAUUUGAGUUUUAGUCCCUGUACUUUAAAAGUUAAUUUUUCUUAAUUUAAAAAUUUUAGUUUAAUCAUUCAUGUUGGUUGUAGUUUCCAUUAGCUUAAUCAACAUGUUAAAUUAUUAAAUUUUGAUAUAAAAUAUUUACGAGUUUAAUAAUUAUACUGAGAUUUUUAAAUAAAAAAGUUGGAAGACUUAAUUUCUAACAUUUUAAAUAUAGGGACUAAAAGCAUCUUUUAACUUUGAUAUUAUUAUUAUAAGCAGGGAUAAUGUCAUCUUUGGCAUCUGUACUUUUAUAAAAUGUCUAGUGGUACAAGUACUUUGAAAAUAUAUAAUGUGGUACCUGAACUAUCAAUAUGUGUUAUUAUUAUGGUACAUGUACUUUGAAAAUGUUUAAUGUGGUACCUAAACUAUCAAUAUAUAUUUUAUUAUGAUACUUGAUAAAGAUGGACUAUUAUUGGUAGCUUAAGGGGCUCUUUGUCCCGCCAUCCCUGCAAAAAAAAAAUUGGAGAAUUUUGUUUUUUCCUUUAAAAUUUUUAGAAAAUUUCAAUUAAGCCCUCAAAAUUUUUGAAAAUUUUCAUUAUACCUUUUAAUUUUUUAAAAAAUUUUAAUUAAGCACUCUUAAAUUUUGAAAAUUCUCAUUAAUCUCACAAAAAUUUUAAUUUUUUUAAAAAAAAUAUUAUUAAACCAUUAAAUUUUUAGAAAAUUUUACCUGCCCCCUCCCCCAAAAAAAAACCUAGUCCCAACCCCUAGGAUCCGCCAUUGGUACUUGGUAUUAACACUGUUAGAAAAUUGCUAAAUAAACCAAUGAAAAUUUGACACAUAGAACCCUUUUUUUAAUUAUCAAGUCCACGUGGAUAAAAUAAUAGUGAAAAACUAAAUAAAACAAUAAUUAAAUGAAAUAAAAAAACAAAUAACUAAACAUAUGGUUAAUAAAAAAAAGCCGUACUUUCAAAGAUAAUAAAAAAUAUUAUUUAAAAAUCAAUUGAAAAUAUUAUUUUAAAAGGAAAACUCUUUGGAGAAGAUGAUCAUUUGCUUAAAUGGAGAAUAUAAUAUUUUUGGUUAUGCAAGUUUAGUAUUUACUUCUUUUUUAUUAAUCAUAUGUUUAGUUUUUUUAAUUAAUUUAAUUGUUUUAUUUAGUUUUUCACAUAAUGUUAUUUUACACAUGCGGACUUGAUGAAUUAGAAAAAAAUAUUACGUGUUAAAUUUUCAUUGGUUGGUCUAAUAAUUCAUUAACGGUGGAUUUGUUCUACAUUGAUGACAAAGAUGUGGAGUUUAAAGAAGUAAGAACUUAUCAACAAUAUUCGAGGUUCUGUUGUAUGUUGCCUUAUUAAAGAAGUCUUCACUUAAAAUCUUCUAUGUUGCCUUAUGUAUGUAGGUUCUUGAGUCACCUUUGCCAAAAGCACCACAUGAUACAUCUGUUACAUCCCACUGGCUUGCGAUUUAAGGCAUUCAACCAGUAAUUCCAGAAAAUGCUUCAAUUGAAGGUACCGUCUUAGCUAACCUAAAUAUUCUCUCGAAGCUAUUUGUGUUGAAGACUCUCAUGGUUCAUGUUCUUUUCUGGUUUUAUCACUUUAAUCUAAUACGAGUUAUCUUCAUUUCUACAUGGAAUUGGUAUUUUGCUUUCCAUGCAGCACCUUCUGAUGGUAAAAAGGCUGAAUACAAAGAAGAUGGGCUUUCCGUUGAUGUCAAAUUAUUUGUUAAACAUGUAUUAUCUAGAGAGCUUCAAGUAUGUUGUACAUCUUCAGCAACAUUUUUAUGUUAAAAUACAUUUUGCACAGAAUGAUAUUAAAAGACUAAUUUGGUUGUCAUGCAGCUUUACUUUGACAAGAUCGUGGACAUUACCAUGAAUAAAUCAGUAUCAAUUCUCUUUAAACAAGCAUUACUGAGUUUGGCAACAGACUCGGGAUUACAUCCUUUAGUUCCUUAUUUUACAUAUUUCAUUGCGGAUGAGGUUGUCUUAAAGAUCUUUCAUACCUCAUUAUAUAUGUGUGUUGCAAAGAACUUUUGGUUGGUUAUCUCAAGCUUACAUUUUUGCCACAUUUAUCUCAGGUUGCACGGAAUUUGAAUAAAUUCCCUCUCAUGUUUGCUUUGAUGCGUGUUGCCCGGAGUCUUCUCGAGAAUGAACACUUACACAUAGAACCUUACGUGAGUUUAUUAUUUCAAUCAUUUAGAAGUACACGAACUAAUGCAAAUAUGCUAGUGGUUUAUUUUCCACCUAUCUGAUUUUUUAAAAUGUUCUUCAGUUACACCAGUUGAUGCCAUCUAUUAUUACCUGCCUUGUUGCAAAAAGGUUAGGAAAUAAAUUCACCGACAAUCAUUGGGAACUUAGAAACUUUGCAGCAAAGCUAGUGGCAUCAAUAUGCAAAAGGUGAAGAUUUCUUUUCUUUUGGACUUAUACAUGCAUAUUCGUUUUUAUGAAUUUCAGGUGUCGAGUUUUUAGUUAUAAACUUGGACCUAUUCUUCAAAUCAUGUGUAUAUCAUUUUUAUGCUAUUUCACACAUGCAAAACAAAUGGUGCAAGCAUGCAUGUUAUAUGCACAGAAUUGUUGAAAGCUGGACUGCAAUGCAACAUGGAGCCAGAAGCAUGCAACUGUCGAGACCAGCAGCUAUCAAGCUCAGCUCAUUUUGCUUGGAGCGCACGAAUGGUUUUUGGACCAAAUGAAGCAACUGACAUUGCUGUUUUGUUUUGAUGUAAUUUAGUUCAGUUUGAUUGUAACUAGCUUUAAUAGUUAGUAGGAUUAAGUUAGUGAUUAGAUAGCUGAUGUAAAAGCUGAUAUGGCAGCUCAUUUUGUAUUUGACUUUAACUUAUUUUGGUUGUAAAUUAGUGGAUGCAGUUAGAUUAGUAGGUAACUAUCAAAUGAACAAAUUGUAACUCCUUUUUAUUUCAAAAAAUUUUGGAUGAAACGUAAUAAUGUUCAGUUACAAUUCUGGCUGUACAUUCAAGUUUCUUGCUUGCUGCUCUGCUUGUUUUUCUUUUCUGCUUCGUUUACUCUUGCUUCUGCUUGCAAAUCUCUUUGUUGCUGCUGCCAUUGUUCCAACAAGAAUACAUAGAUUAAUUACGUGUGGAUCAUUAAGAAUGCCUAUGUAUUGGAAAUUGGCCAACCAUGCUGCUGUUACAUUUUGUGUUGAAGUGCAUGCAGCUUGAUGACAUGCUGCAGCACAUAUGCUUGCUGUAACAGCAAGGUUUCUCUUUAGUUUCAUCCUAAUUAAACUAGUUGAAAAUGAACAAGUUGAUGACAACUUGAUGCAUGAGGUGUUGAAUGAUUAGUUUAGGUGGCUUGUUUAUGUGUACAAGCAAUGUUUUAAUAGUCCCAAUGCUGAUUAGUGGGGUUAGUUGACUAUUUGGUGAUGUAUUUGACUAUAAAUGUAUGUUUUUUUUCGUUGAAUGAAUGAGCUGAAUAAGCUAUCAGCCAUAUGCUCCCUUGCUGCACAUUUGUGAGCAAGUAAAAAUACUUCUUGCAUCUUGCUUCAUUGUUCUGUGCUCUCUGUUCUCUUCUUUUGCUGCUGCCAAUGCUCCAACACUAUGUUUGACCAUUGUGUGUGGCUACUUUUUUUUUACAUGAUCCAAUUUUCGAUAUGAUAUGCUUUGCUUUUAGGUUGAAUGCGGAAAAGAUUAGAACUUAAUUUCCAGCAUAAUGAUUUGUCUUGGAUAUGCAGAUUUUUACAUGCAUUUCUUAAAAGUCAAUAUUUUAUAGAUUCGGGCAUGUUUAUCACAACCUUCAGCCACGUGUGACAAGGACACUGCUCCACGCUUUUUUGGACCCAACGAAAACAUUUCCCCAGCAUUACGGAGCAAUUCAAGGGUUAGCAUGUUAGAAAUCAAACCCACUCCAAGCAUAAUCUAGAAGCAUGAGACGUGGAGCAAUUUUGUGCCAUGCAAAGUGCUGAAAUUUUAGCCAUACAAAGUGCUCCAUUAUUGAGAUGUUUUGUGGCUGGAAAUUAAGUGGAUUAAUAGCCACAUUUGUUGUCACUUUAUCAGCCUAUAAAUAGAGGCUUGAACUUGUGUUGUAAAAAAGAAGAAAAAUGAGAAGAAAAAAGAAAUAAGAGAAGCAACGUGAGUGAGAGUGAGAAGGUUAGCAAACCUUGAGUGAGUUAAAAUCUAGCAGCAGCUAGACUAUCUAGUCAUUGAGAAAAUAUUUGUAAUCUUCGUAUUGUAAUAUAUUGAGUGUGUAAUAAAAAGUAAAUUUUCGGCCCAUCACGUUUCCAACAAGUGGCAUCAGAGCUACGGUUCGGAGCUUGGUUCGGAGUUCGGUUCGUGUCCGGUUCGUGUCCAGUUCGGAGUACCUUUGGUGUUCAUCUAACAAGUCGAUAUGGGCGACGUAAUUCAGCUACAAGUUCCACAAUUGACGAAGACAAAUUAUGGAAAUUGGAGCAUUCGAAUGAAGGCUUUGCUCGGUUCGCAAGAUUGUUGGGAGAUCGUUGAAAAAGGAUACAUCGAGCCCGGAGAUGCCGCUACAGAAGCAGCUUUAUCAAAUGACGCUAAGAAGGCGUUACGAGAAGCACGAAAGAAGGAUCAAAAGGCCUUGAAUAGUAUCUUUCAAGGUAUGGAUGAAUCAACCUUCGAGAAAAUAUCAGAUGUGAAGAACGCGAAGAAUGCAUGGGAGAUUUUGCAAAAAUCAUUUCAAGGUGUAGAAAAAGCUAAAAAGGUACGCCUUCAGUCACUUAGAGCUGAAUUUGAAAUGUUAAAAAUGAAGAGCUCCGAGAAUAUCGAUGACUAUGCCAAUCGUGUAAAAUCGGUGGUAAAUGAAAUGAAACGAAAUGGAGAAACUCUUGACGAGGUAAGAAUGAUGGAGAAAAUUCUACGGUCACUCACACGCAAAUUCGAGUACGUAGUCGUUGCCAUCGAAGAAUCAAAAGAUUUGUCAAAGAUGUCGCUCGAAGAACUUGUGGGUUCUCUGCAAGCCCAUGAGCAAAAGAUGAAGCUAAAUGAAGAUAGUGAAAAUCUUGAUCAAGCCUUGCAUAGCAAGUUGUCCGUCGACGACGGAGAAACAAGUAAUAACUUUAACCAAGGAAGAGGAAACCGCAGAGGAUACCGUGGAGGCUACCGUGGUGGAAACAGAGGAGGAAGAGGAUCACGAGGACGUGGAAAUCAAUCAUAUGGGAGAUAUCAAGAAAAUAAAGAUUAUCAAACAUCCAACCGUGGACGUGGAUCUAGAGGUCGUGGCCGAGGCAGAUUUCAAGAAAAUAAAUCUCAGGUACAAUGCUACAACUGUAACAAGUAUGGACAUUUCAGUUACGAGUGCAGAUCAACACACAAAGUGGAUGAAAGAAACCAUGUAGCAGUCAUAGCAGAAGGCAACGAAAAAGUGGAAUCAAGUGUCUUUCUCACUUACGGAGAAAAUGAAGAUCGCAAGAGAAGUGUGUGGUAUCUCGACAACGGUGCAAGCAACCACAUGUGUGGAAGAAAGGAGCUGUUCACAGAAUUAGAUGAAACAGUUCAUGGACAAAUAACUUUUGGAGACAACUCACAUGCAGAAAUCAAAGGAAAGGGCAAGGUUGUUAUAACACAAAGGAAUGGAGAGAAGAAGUACAUCUCAGACGUUUACUACGUACCAGCUUUGAAGAGCAACCUGAUCAGUCUUGGUCAACUCCUAGAAAAAGGAUAUGAAGUUCAUAUGAAAGACCGCUCACUCGCCAUCAGGAACAAAAGUGGAGAAUUAGUUGUUCGAGUUGAUAUGACGCGAAAUCGUCUUUUCACCCUCGACAUCGAGUCUGGAGAAGUAAAAUGCAUGAAGACGGAUCUGAAGAAUGAAUCAUGGUUGUGGCACUUAAGGUACGGACAUCUCGGAUUUUCUGGCUUGAAGCUGUUGUCGAAGACAAAUAUGGUGAAUGGAUUACCAAGUAUUAAUCAUCCAGAUCAACUGUGUGAAGCCUGUGUCAAAGGAAAGUAGCAUAGGCAGAAAUUUGAAGUAGGAAAAUCUCGAAGAGCUAGAAGACCAUUGGAAAUUGUACACACCGACAUAUCUGGUCCGUACGACAUUGAAUCACUCGGUGGAAACAGGUACUACCUAACUUUUAUUGAUGAUUAUAGCAGAAAAUGUUGGGUUUAUUUUCUCAAAGCAAAAUCGGAAGCCCUAGAAAAAUUCAAGGAGUUCAAAGCAAUGGUGGAAAAACAGAGUGGUCGAUAUUUGAAGAUACUCAGAUCCGAUAGAGGAGGCGAGUAUACUGCAAAGCUUUAUGAAAGUUUCUGCAAAGAUCAUGGAAUCAUUCAUCAGUUAACAGCCAGACGCACUCCACAACAAAACGGAGUUGCAGAAAGGAAGAAUCGGACAAUUCUGGAUAUGGCAAGAAGCAUGAUAAAAGGUAAACACCUUCCGAGAAAUUUCUGGGCUGAAGCCGUUGAAUGCGCAGUUUAUCUGUUGAAUCAAUGUCCAACAAAAAGUGUAAGACACAAGACACCAGAAGAAGCAUGGAGCGAUCACAAGCCAAGAGUUGGACACCUCAAAAUUUUUGGAUGCAUUGCAUAUGCACACGUUCCUGAGCAACAGAGGAAAAAGCUUGACGAUAGAGGAGAGAAGUGUAUCUUUAUAGGCUAUGACAAAAGAAGUAAGGCCUACAGACUUUAUAAUCCUCUUACUAAGAAAUUGAUUAUCUCAAGAGAUGUCGAGUUCGAUGAAGCGGAUUACUGGAGAUGGAGUGAAGAAGAAAAGAAAGUGGAAGGAUUAUUUUUCAACGAAGACGACAAUGAUGUCAUCAACCAAGAAGAACAAGGCGAUGAUCAAAGUCCUGGUACAACAGCCCCUUCGUCACCAACCAGCAGCAGCGGAAGCAGCAGCUCAGAUGAAGCACCCACAAGAACACGGAGUCUCAACGACAUCUACAAUUCUACGGAACCUGUAGAGACGCAGUUCGAUUAUUCACUAUUCUGUCUAAUGACAGAAUGUGAUCCAGUGACAUACGAAGAAGCAAUUGAAGACAAUAAAUGGAAGAAGGCCAUGGACGAGGAGAUUGCUGCAAUAAGAAGGAAUGACACGUGGGAGCUAACAAGUCUGCCAGAAGGACAUAGCCCGAUUGGUGUCAAGUGGGUGUACAAGACGAAGACCAACAAAGAAGGAAAAGUAGAGAAAUACAAGGCAAGACUAGUCGCCAAAGGCUACAAGCAAAGACAAGGAGUGGACUAUGAUGAAAUAUUUGCUCCAGUCGCAAGAAUAGACACAAUUAGGCUUCUCAUAGCGGUCGCAGCACAAUACAAAUGGAAAAUCUAUCAGAUGGACGUCAAGUCUGCAUUCCUGAAUGGCUACUUGGAGGAGGAAGUCUACAUAGAACAACCACCUGGAUAUAGCAUACAAGGAAAGGAGGACAAAGUCUACCGAUUAAAGAAAGCUUUGUAUGGAUUGAAGCAAGCCCCAAGAGCAUGGAACACAAGGAUCGACGAGUACUUCCGAAGAAAUGGAUUCAUCAAAAGCCCGCACGAGCACACCCUGUACACAAAGAAGAAUGGAUAUGGAGAUAUCAUGAUCGUAUGCCUAUAUGUGGAUGACAUGAUCUUCACCGGAAACAAUCCAGGUAUGUCUGAUGAUUUCAAGAAAGCUAUGACUAAAGAAUUUGAAAUGACAGAUAUCGGUGAGAUGUCAUACUUUCUUGGAGUCGAGGUGAAACAAAUGCAAGAUGGAAUUUUUGUCUCUCAAAAGAAGUAUGCGGAGCAGAUUUUGAACAAGUUCAAAAUGAAGGAUUGCAAGCCAGUAGUCACGCCAGCUGAUCCAGGGAUGAAGCUAAGUGUUGAUUCGACAAGGGAGUCGAUAAAUCCGACGUUGUUUAAAAGUCUCGUUGGAAGUUUAAGGUAUUUGACAAUCACACGACCAGAUAUUACAUAUGCAGUAGGAUUGGUGAGCAGAUUCAUGGAGAAGCCGAAGCAAGACCACUUAAUUGCCGCAAAAAGAAUUUUGAGAUAUAUCAAAGGUACGAUGAACCAUGGUUUAUUCUAUACCCACUCACAAGAUUCAAAAUUAGUUGGCUACUCAGAUAGCGAUUAUGGGGGAGACUUGGAUGAUCGGAAAAGCACUUCCGGAUAUGCAUUCCACAUCAAUUCCGCAGUUUUUUCAUGGUCGUCAAAGAAGCAACAAACAAUUGCUCUCUCAACAUGUGAAGCAGAGUAUAUGGCCGCAGCAACUUGUACAUGCCAAGCAAUGUGGUUGAAGAAUAUUUUGGGAGAAAUAGGUGUUUCAAAUGAAGGUCCAAUUACCAUCUACGUUGACAACAAAUCCGCUAUAUCACUUGCCAAGAAUCCGGUGUCGCACAGCCGAAGCAAGCACAUCGAUACGAAGUAUCAUUUUAUCCGAGAGCAAGUGAAAAACAAAAACGUGGAGUUGGUCCAUUGCAGGACAGAAGAUCAACUGGCAGAUAUUUUCACAAAGCCGUUGAAAGUGGAGACAUUCAACAAAUUCAAAGAGAAGCUCGGUAUGAAAGUUGGGUUUGAGGGGGAGUGUUAGAAAUCAAACCCACUCCAAGCAUAAUCUAGAAGCAUGAGACGUGGAGCAAUUUUGUGCCAUGCAAAGUGCUGAAAUUUUAGCCAUACAAAGUGCUCCAUUAUUGAGAUGUUUUGUGGCUGGAAAUUAAGUGGAUUAAUAGCCACAUUUGUUGUCACUUUAUCAGCCUAUAAAUAGAGGCUUGAACUUGUGUUGUAAAAAAGAAGAAAAAUGAGAAGAAAAAAGAAAUAAGAGAAGCAACGUGAGUGAGAGUGAGAAGGUUAGCAAACCUUGAGUGAGUUAAAAUCUAGCAGCAGCUAGACUAUCUAGUCAUUGAGAAAAUAUUUGUAAUCUUCGUAUUGUAAUAUAUUGAGUGUGUAAUAAAAAGUAAAUUUUCGGCCCAUCACGUUUCCAACAUAGCAUCCCUUGGACCCAGUGUGGUAUAAUUCUAAUCUCAAAUAUUUACUAGCAACACAAUAAGAUACUGGUUUGUGGGAUCAAUUGGUCAAAGAUAUUGCAAUGAUAGCCAUCUUUUUAAGUCCAUUUCUUUCAGAAAACUGUUUUGUCACUCUUUUCUGCAAGAUCCGAAGAAAGAAAGAACUUGGAAAUCUAUAGUCCAAAAGUGUAAAUAUGCGGUUUCUCUAUAGGUAUCUUUAUUAUGGCAUCUGUAAAGUUUGUCUUUCAUAUGUUUGAGUAACGCUUCUUCUUCCAUAUGUAGGUUCGUUUACUUAUACUACCAAAUCUUGAAGCGUAUUUGCAGCUUUUUGAACCUGAAAUAAAAAGACACGAGGCCUGGUGUGUUUAUGGGGCACUGCUGGUAAGUUUAACAUCAAAUUUGGUACCAGUUUAUGAGCAUCGUUUCAUUUAUUUGCUGUAGAACUAACAACACUGCAUAAAAUUUCCACUAACAGCGUGCAGCUGGACUGUGCAUGUAUGAUCGGCUUAAAAUGUUACCCAGUUUGCUAGCACCCUCAACUCGUCCCGUCUGGAAAAGCAACACCAAAGUUGCGACAAGUAUGAUUUCUUCGAACCAUCAUAUUUACACUUAAUCCACAAAUCUCUUCUCCCCCUUUACGAUAUUCCUUUUUCUGAUCAAUCAAGAUAAACGAAAAGCAAGCACGGACACCUUGAUGCAGCAGCAACCAACUGCCAAGAAAAUAGCAACUGAGAGUGCAAUAGGUAUGAUGCCGAUAAAUUCCAUGCAAACUGAUUUACAAGGGGCAGUUAGCGGCUUUUCUACCACCGUAGGAGGUUCCAGUAUCUGUGUAUCAUCAAUGUCACGGCCGUUAUCAAACGAUAACAUGCUUGGAAGGGAGGUUGGGGGUCGAGUUUCAAAGACAUCAACCGUUCUAGCUCAGGCUUGGAACCGGGGAACUUGUUAGCAUCAUUAUUUGAACUUUUUGGUGAAAGUAUGUUAUCAUUUACUCCCAAACCUGAGCUUUCAUUCUUCCUUUGAUUAAAUUUCACCUCCAAAAGCUAUGGUUUUUGAAGGAAUUUGUGUAAUUAAUCCCCAUAGUUUUUUUCAGUCUUACUGUGUUUAUCUUUAUAAGUCUUCUUUCUUUUUUUUCCUUGCUCAUAAAUGUAUUGUAGUUAUCAAAAAAUAUAUUCUACUUUGGAUUUUAUUUAUAUUAAAUUUUACGUUAAAUUCUGCUAUUAGUCUCUGUACUUUACGAAAAUGAUGGAUUUAGUCCUUAUACCUUAAUUUGAUCAAUUUUAGUCAUUGUAUUUUUUGAAUUGGUCAAUUUUAAACUAUCUACCUUUUAAAUUUUGAAAUUUUAGUCUUGACCCAAAUAAUAAUAAUAAUAAUAAUUAAAUCUGCUUAUUUAAAUUCAAUUAUUAGUUUUGUAUUAUGUAGACAGAUAUAGAUUUAAUCCAUAUUUUUCAAUUGGGUCAUUCCAAGUCUUUAUACUUUUCAAAUUUUGAAAUUUCAAUAUUGAUGCAGAACGAGAGUUGUUAUUAAUUAAUUGAUUAUUUAGCAAGUAUAUGUAGAAAUAACAAGUUGGCAUGUCAUUAUACUUAAAAAAAUAUAUUGGCUUAACCCACCUAAAUUAUGUCUUUUUUUCCAUCUUCGGACCUCAAUUUUUUUAGGGUCAUAAGUGGUACCUAAACUACUUUUUUUCUCCUUCAAAUUAGUAUCUUCAUUAGUUAAACCGUUAAGUCUAUUUAAAAAAGAAAGACUCGAACAACAAAUUAAUACCUAAAACAAUGCUCUUUUUCCCAAUGUAUCUAAUUUUUAUUUUGGCCAUAAGUACUACUAAAACUAUUCUUCCGUUACUCGUUUUACACAAAAUGUUAUAUCGGCUAAAAAGAUUGCAACAAAUAAUAGAUUGUAUGUCAUAUAAACUUUUAAAAAUAAUUAUUAAUUAAUUAUUUUUUAUAUUUUUCUUUCUUAUUCCUUUAUAAUGUUUGACAAUGCCGAUAAUGUUUGAAAUUGGCCCACUUGAGGUCGAAACGCUGGUGAUUAAUUUUGGUUUUGAAUUUCACCACCUAUUUCUCUGACCUGAGGGGAUAAAAAAUGUUCUUUCAUUGAUCAAAACUAGUGUUUUCAAAAACAGACUGAUUCAACCGGAAAUAGGGGUUGAAUCAUUGACUUGCGAGCAAAAACAAAUCAGUUGAACUAAGCUAAAAAAAACUAGUUGAACUAGUUCUCUCUAUUUAUAUAUAUAAAAAUAAUAAUAGUCUUUUUUUUAUUACAUGUCAAUUUUUAUUUGGUUAUUUUUUUUUCAUAUAAACUGAACGGUUUGACUAAUGACGGAGGUACCAAAUUAUAGUCUAGGUACCAAUUUAUGGGUUAAGCCUAUUUCUAAAAUAGACUUUUGACUAAUGGCGGUAGUAACUUGGGAAAAAAAAGUAGUUUAUGUACCACUUGUGACCAAAAAUAAGUUUAGGUACCAACAUCGUAAAAUGAGUAUAAUUUAGAUACCGAUUUAUGAGUUAAGCCUAAUAUAUUUGUCGCAUCAUUUUUUAAAAAUAACAGAACUUAAUAAAUUUAACGAUUAUUGUUUGAUGAUGACUAAAAUUUUAAAAUUUGAAAAGUACAUGAACUAAAAAUGACCAAAUUAAAGUAUAAAGAUUAAGUCCACAACUUUUGCAAAGUACAAGGACUAAUAGCAGAAAUUAACCUAAAUUUCAUAUGGGUCAAUUACAAAAAUAAUCACUAAGCUAUUCCUUUGGUUCUAUUCUAGUCAUUCAACUAUAGAGGUGCUCAUGAGUUGGGCCAGGUCAGGCCUAAGGAUGAUAUUAACGUACUUUAUACUUGCUCAAGCUUGGCUCGGCCCGAAAUAUGAGCUUAAAUUUUCACCUAAACUCAUCCAUAUUUGCAAAAGACUAACGCAAGCUCAUUUUAGGCAUGCUUAUAUAAUUUUUAGUUUUUGUUUAAAUAUUUAUAUUAUAUUAUUUUAAUAUUUAAUAAUUUAAACAUUUUUUAUUUAUUGAAAAUUUUUAUAUAGUCAUCUAAUUAACAUUAUUUUAAUGUUUACAUUAUAGUAUUAUUAUAUAUUUAAUAUAAGUUUAUUUUUUAAUCUGUUCUAAAUUUUAUAAUAUAAAGUAUUAUACACUUAAAAAUGGGCCGGGCUGGGCUCGAGCUUUGAAUGUUCAAGCCUGAACCCAGCCCAAAUUUUAAACGGGCCUAUUUUUUUUUUACCCAAACCUAAUUUUUGGGCCUAAUAUUUUUAUCCAGACCCUCCCAAAUUUUUGGACCUUGCCAAGUAGCCCAACUCAUUAACAAGUUUACUCAACUAUUAAUUUUUUCGAUUUAGUUGUUAACCUUUUCGAAAGUAAAUAUUUUAGUCACUCUCCUGUUAGUUGUUGCUAAAUGAGUGACGGAAAGCUAAUGUGGGUUUUUUUUAUUAGUCUAAUAACAAAUUUAGCCCUAAAUGUUAACAAAACUUGUCAUUUUAGUUCAAAUUCUAAAAAUUUUAAUAAAUUUAACCCUUAAUAUUUUCAAAAAUUAGCAAUUUAGUUCUAAUUCUAAAAAUUUUAAUAUAUAUUUAAAAAAAUAUUUUUAAUCCUCUGUCUCACCCUUUGAUUUUUUUAGAUGAGCUAAAAUCAAAACAUAUCGUUAUAUCUUUUUGUUUUAAUGCUAAAAGAGAUAAAAAAAAUGAAAAGCUAAAAUGACUUUUCGUUUGUAAAGUUAAAAAAUGCUAAAUAAAUCAUUAUGUCUUUUUAGUUUUAAUUUUUUACUUGAUUAAAAGAGAAAUAAUUAACGAAUAAAAAAUAAUUAUUCCCAAAUAAAUUUAUCAAAAUUUAUAAUAAAUGAGAUUUUGAAUUUAUCAAAAUAUAUAUAAGUAUACACAUUUUUAUGAAAUAUAAGAUUUUGCUAAAAGAAAAAGCAUACAAAAGUAUACACCUUUUUAUGAAACACAAGAUUUUGCUAAAAGAAAAAUAUAUGGUAAAAGGAAGACUAAGUGGUGGUUAAAAAAUACAAAAAAUUUUGAAAAUCUAAUAUCCAUAACUUUUCAAUGUAAAAGAAAAACAGACUGUAACACCAAUGUUGUGGUUUUAUUUGUUGCCUAUAAAUGCCAUUCCUAUCCUUCAUCUUCCUCUACCAACAUAACAUGGCCUCCUAUCUCUUUCUCUGCCUAUUCCUCUUCUUUCCCCAUCUUUAUGCUUCUUUUUCUUCUUCAGGAUCUCACUCCUGCUCUUCACUAACCCAGUUCAAGAAUUCUUUUUCCAUCACUCAGACAGAGGGUGCUUCUUUGUCUUGCAAUGAGAUUGCUGGCCUUAAAUCUUAUCCCAAGACAAAUUCAUGGAAGGAGGGUACAGAUUGCUGCUCAUGGGAUGGGGUCACUUGUGACCACCUAAAUGCUCAUGGUAUUGCCCUUGACUUGAGCUGCAGUUGGCUAUAUGGCAACUUCCCUCCCAAUACCACUCUCUUCCUUCUUCCUCACCUUCAAAAACUCAACCUUGCCUUCAAUGAUUUUAAUCUUUCCAAAAUUCCAUCCGAGUUCGGUGGGUUUACAAGCCUAUUCUACCUCAACCUUUCUCAUACAGGGUUUGCAGGACAAGUCCCAUCCCAAGUCUCCCACCUGUCAAAAUUGGUUUCACUUGAUAUCUCCUCUUCGAUUUAUGACUAUGAGAAAUUUACAAUUGACAAACAUGCUCUGGAGGGACUUGUUCACAACCUAUCCGAGGUCAGACAUCUGUUUUUGGAUGGAAUGGACAUGUCUUCUGUUAAUGCUCAUGUCUUCAUGAAUCUAUCCUCUUCUCUAAGGUCUCUCAGUCUUGCUUAUUGUGAUUUGCAAGGAAAAUUCCCAAAAAACAUUUUUGAUUUGCCAAACCUCAAUCUCCUCAACUUGGGAAGCAACCCAAUCCUCAGUCUUGAUCCUUUGAAGUUGAAUCGGAGCAGCAAUCUUGAACAUUUGGAUCUGUCGUCCAUGUCCUUCUCUACAGAAUUCAUUGAUUCAGUUGAUAAUCUACAGGCCUUAAAGUACUUAGAUCUAUCAGGACAUUUUUUCUCUCAACGAUUGUCUGUCUCAAAAACAAAAUCGGGGUACUUGUUUACUGGAGACGCAAAUUUUUUUGGAGGAUUGCCUGACUCGAUGGGGAAUCUUGUGUCUUUGAAGUUUUUAGAUCUCUCCUAUUCCAACUUAUCAGGAACGGUUCCAAGAUCACUGGGGAAUCUCUUGCAACUCACUCAUUUAGACUUGUCGGGGAACCAAUUUAGUGGACAAAUUCCAUCGUCAAUUCUAAACCUAACGCAGUUGGAAUACUUGAAAAUAUCUGAAAAUUCAUUAGAAGGUUCCAUUCCAGAUGAGGUAACCGCUUUUCCUAAUUUAAUAUAUUUAUACUUAGAUAACAAUUUACUUAAUGGAAUACUUCCGUCAUGGUUGUAUACUGCUCCCCCCUUAAAGAGAAUAGAUCUCUCUAAAAAUCAAUUCAGUGGACAUAUCAAAGAAUUCCAAUCCAAAUCACUAGAAUUGAUAUGGUUAGAGAAUAAUAAACUCCAAGGUCCUCUUCCAUCUUCAAUAUUCCAACUUCUCAAUCUUACCGGACUCAAGUUAUCCUCAAAUAAUCUUAGUGGUGUCAUAGAGUUUAGCAUGUUCUCAAACCUUCCAAAUCUCGAAUAUCUUGACCUUUCAUAUAACAGCCUAUCCUUAACAUCUAAUACUACUUCUACUGUUAAUCUUACAAGCUUAUUUUUGUCAUCUUGCAAUCUUAGUGAAUUCCCCCAAUUUUUGAAAGGGCUUAAAAGUUUGGAAAGCUUAGACCUCUCUUGCAACAAAAUUGAAGGCAAGAUUCCACAGUGGAUGCAAGAGGUGGGGAAUGGCUCUUUGACUUACUUAAAUGUAUCUCACAACUCUUUGACAGAAGUUGAGCACUUUCCAUGGAAUAAUAUUGCAGUUCUUGACUUAAGCUCCAAUUUGAUCCGUGGAAAUCUUCCGAUUCCAGCUUCGACCAUAAGAGUCUUUUUGAUCUCAAAUAAUAGUUUCAAUGGAGAGGUCUCUUCUUUAAUAUGCAAUGCCACUUAUCUUCAAAUUCUUGAUUUGUCCCACAAUUACUUGAGUGGAUCAAUUCCGCAAUGUUUUGGAAAUUUGAGCUACUGGCUUGAAUUCUUGAAUCUGAAGAAGAAGUUUUAUGGGACGAUUCCUCCAGCAUUCGCAAAGGGAUGCCAAUUGAGUAAUUUCAACUUAAAUGGAAAUCUGUUAGAAGGGCCUUUGACACCAUCCAUCCUUAAUUGUAGAGGUCUGGAAGUGCUAGAUCUUGGUAACAACAAGAUCAAUGAUACAUUUCCUCAUUGGUUGGGCAGUCUUCCAUUUUUGCAAGUUCUUGUAUUGAAGGCUAUCAUAAAUCUAGAGAAGAUUGGGAGUACAAUGUCGUACAUGGGGGUGAAUUGUCCUGGAAGUGGCUUCUAUACCUAUUCCAUUGGAAUUGUUAUGAAAGGACAAGAUAUGGACUUGGUGAAAAUUUUCACCAUGUGGAUGAUCAUUGAUCUAUCAAACAAUCAGUUUGAAGGGGGUAUUCCAGAGGUUUUUGGGAAGCUUAACUUACUGAAAGGGCUCAACCUUUCUCAUAAUAACCUUAAUGGUGGUAUCCCCACCUCAAUAGGGAAUUUGACAAGUCUUGAAUGGUUGGACCUAUCUUCAAACAGGUUGUCUGGGACGAUUCCAAAUAGAUUGGCAGAUCUGCCAUUUCUUUCGUCCUUCAAUGUUUCUGAAAAUAAACUCCAUGGUCAGAUUCCUCAAGGCAAACAGUUAAACACAUUUGGAAAUGAUUCAUAUGAAGGAAACAAGGGAAAAUAAACUCCAUGGUCAGAUUCCUCAAGGCAAACAGUUCAACACAUUUGGAAAUGAUUCAUAUGAAGGAAACAAGGGAUUAUGUGGAUUUCCGGUCUCAAAAGGUUGCAACAUCAUUGAGCCACCACCUCCAAAUGUGCUUGAAAAAGAUGGCUCAAAAUCAAACAUUACUUUUGGUUGGAAAGUGGUGUUGAUAGGUUAUGGAUGCGGAGUGGUGUUCGGAAUGUCCGUGGGAUAUGUUGUUUUCCAAACUGGUAAGCCGAAAUGGUUGGUGAAUUUGUUGAAAUCCAACAUGAGAAGAAGCGAAGAAGAAAGUCAAAGGAUGGCAGUCGCAGAAAUGGACGAAGAAGGAUCUAGUUAGUGGAAAUGAUGUUCAAGUGUUGAUGUUGUAUCUUCAUAAUUUCUUGUUUUGAAGUCUUUCAAUUUUUUUCCUAUGGUGAAAGGUUGCAUUGGCAUGCAUCUGUCUUUGUUAUUGUGACAAUUCAUCUAUAUUUCAUUGCAUUACAUAGUAUUUGUAAGGGUUUGUUUUAAAUGUAACAUUUUGUAUGGUUCAACUAUUUAUGUCUUCUUUCAUGACUUUCAUUUUUGAGUCUCAAUAAUCUCUGCAUUCAAGAUUUUGUCAGCUUAUUAAUUGGUAAAAAUUAUAUGAAUAAACUUUUAUAAAUAUAAAUAUGAAUAAACUUUUAUAAAUAUAAAGUGUAAUUUAUGAGUCGAGUUAUUCAAUAAGAAAAAAAAACCCUCAUUUCAAUGUUCAAUAUAUAUGAAAUUCUACAAAAUUAAUUUCUUCUAAUAUUUUUACUUUUUGUGAUUAAGUUUAAAAUACUUUUCAAUUACUAAAUCUUAGUCCGAGCCAACCUAUUGGCUCGACUAACUAUUUAGAAAAUAUAAUAUGUUUAUAUUAAAAAUUUUAUAUUUAAAUAAAAAUUCAAGACGAGUUGUCUAGAAUUUGUGAAAAUGCUGUCCACGACCUAGCACAUAUUGGACAAUCCUAUUGAACUAGGUAGGUAGUGUGAGCUUGCCUUGAAAGUGCUAAUAAAUCCAAUUGAGUCAAGACUUAAGACUUCUUAUUCAACUUUAGACCCAAAUUGGGUAAUCAUAUUAGACGGAUAGUUUGAUACUUAAAUAUAUCUAAUCACAAUAUAUAUAAUUAAAUGAGCAAACAUAAAACCUUGGUUCUAAAACUCCAUGCUUCCUCUUUUGUUAACUUUAUGUUUAACUCUUCGGCCAACUUUUUCAAAUGUUGUAAGGUUCCCACUGUCAGUAUUAUACCAUUUUGAUCUCCACUAUUACAUUAUAAUCAUAUUAAAAAAAUAAAAAAAAUAGAAAAAAAUCAGUCAAAUGGCAUGAUAAUUUCUUUUCAAAAUUGUUCACUUUGAUUCUUCAUACAUAUUUAACUUAUUUCAAGAAAGUAUUGGAAAAAAUUAUGGCAUACAAAUAUAAUACUAACCUGAAUAUUGUAAUGGGAAUGGCUUGUUGAAGAAGGUUUUUAAGUGCAGGGAGCAUGUCAAGGUCCUUAUCAGCUUCGUUGUAUUUAAAAUUAGUUCUAAAAAAAUAAGAGUGAAAUAUAAUGAAAAUUUUAAGGCUAGCAAUUUUUACACGACAUUCACCUCAAUAAACAAGUAAUUUAUUUUAUUUUCUUAAGAAAUAGGUGACAAUAUAGAAAGAGAAAAAUUGACCGCGAGUUUUAAAACUUGAAUUUAAAAUAAUUUCUAAAAAGUAUUUAUAUGAAUAUAUUGGAAAAAAAGUUCAUCUUGUCUCAAAUUUUAGGGGAAAACUUACGUGAAAUAACCCUUCCAUCUAUAUGACAAGUUGGUUCGAAUCCCAUGGAAAGCUUUUUGAACUUCUGAAAGAAUAAAGUAAAAUUGCACUCUUAAUGGAAGACACAUGUCUACUUCUGUGCUAACUAUAAGAACCAAUACUAAAAAAUAAAGUUUUACGCUUUUGAUAUAACCAAUAAAAGAAAAAUAACACAAAAUCAAUUUUACUCAAUUGAUCAGUUAAUUCAAUUCUAUAGGAACUUAUGUUAUAUGUAGUUUCGAGUUGAAGUAAAAUAAGAGGAAUGUAAAGAACUAAAUGAAAACAUGUUUUCCCAAGUCCAAAUCUAGCUCAUUUUCAGCAUUAGGAGGGCGAAAGACAACAAAUAGCUUUUGUCAGGAGUAAUUAUGAGCAUUGGUCUUGAAAGUAGCCAAACCGGCCUCGAACUCAAGGUUUUUGCAUUUUGCGCUUCAAGUGGUUGCAGCAUCAAUGAGACACGACCUCCAAAUGUGCUGGAAAAGGAUGGCUCAAAAGCAAACAUUGCUUUUGGUUGGAAAGUGGUGUUGGUAGGUUAUGGAUGCCGGGUAGUGUUUGGAAUGGCCAUGGGAUGUGUUGUUUUCCAAACUGGUAAGGCAAAAAGGUUCGUGAAUUUGGUUGAAGACCAACAUGAGAAGAGGCGAAGAAGAAAGCCAAAAUAUAGCAAUAUCGCAUCAAUGGAUGAAGAAGGAUCUAGUUGGUUCAAAUGAAGUUAAAGCAUUUGUGCUGUGUCUGCAUAAUUUCUUGUUUAGUAGUCUGUCAGAAAGUUUUUCCUAUGGUGAAAAGUUGCAUUGGUAUGUGUCUGUUUUUAUGAUUGUACCAAUUCCUCUGUAUUUCAUUGCAUUUCGUACUAUUUGUAAGGAUUUAGUUCUAGUGUAACAUCUUGUAUGGUGCAACUAUGUAUGUCUUCUUUCUUGAAUUUCAAUUUUUAGUAAACAUUAUACUGCUCAACAUAAAAAAAAUACAUGUAGAAUUACAAAAGAUUCAAUUAUUCAAGUUCGAGUUGCAUUUAUAAACACGUGACGAUGAGAAUUCAUGAUGUGUUAUAAGCAAGAAGACUUUGUAAUCUCAUGAAUGUUAAUUAUUUUACUUCUUUGGUAAAAAAAAGUAAUCAAUCUUAUGAAUGAAAAAUAUAGGGUAAAGAGGAAGUAGUUGUUAACCUUUUCGAUUUAGUUGUUAACCUUUUCGAAAGUAAAUAUUUUAGUCACUCUCUUGUUAGUUGUUGUUAAAUGAGUGACCAAAAGCUGAUGUGGGCUUUUUUUAUUAGUCUAAUAACAAAUUUAGGCCUCCAAUGUUUACACAUUCUAUCAAUUUGAUCCUAGAUAUAAAAAAAAUCAACAAAUUUAGCCCUGAAUGUUAACAAAACUUGUGAUUUUAGUUCAAAUUCUAAAAAAUUUAAUAAAUUUAACCCUUAAUAUUUUCAAAAAUUAGCAAUUUAGUUCUAAUUCUAAAAAUUUUAAUAUAUAUAUAUUUUAAAAAAUAUUUUUAAUCCUCUGUCUCACCCUUUGAUUUUUUAGAUGAGCAAAAAUCAAAAUAUAUCAUUAUGUCUUUUUGUUUUAAAGCUAAAAGAGAUAAAAAAAAUGAAAAGCUAAAAUGACUUUUCGUUUGUAAAGUUAAAAAAUGCUAAAUAAAUCAUUAUGUCUUUUUAAUUUUAAUUUUUUACUUGAUUAAAAGAGAAAUAAUUAACGAAAGAAAAAUAAUUAUUCCCAAAUAAAUUUAUCAGGUUUUAGAUUUAAAUUAUGAGGCUAUAUAUAUAUAUAAGUAUACACAUUUUUAUGAAAUACAAGAUUUUGCUAAAAGAAAAAGCAUCCAAUUUUAAGAAUGAAAAAUAUAAAUCCUUUCAUUUUGAAUUGCAACUUUAUCCUGCCUAAAUUCCUCAACCAUGAACCACCCAUCAGGGCAGCCUCAAAAUGAACUUCCUUGGUCCGCCGGAUUCUGCGAUUGUUGCUCUGACCUGAAAACUUGUAACCCUUUCUUCUUUCUUCAAAAUCAGUUGUGUCAUUUUAAAUAUAUGAAUUAGUUUAUCAAUUAAAUAUAUGGACAUUUCAGGUUGCAUUUCAUACUGUUGCCCAUGCAUCACCUUUGGCCAGAUUGCUGAGAUUGUUGAUAAAGGGUCGACUUGUAAGUUAUUAAUUUCUAAAUUGAAAUCUUAUCAUCUUAGGUUUGCAGACAUAUAUAUAUUUAAAGAGAUAUUAUGUAAUUAAUAAUAAUGUUGAAAAACACUGUUGGAUGGUGCAGCAUGUGGGGCAAGUGGGGCAGUAUACACAUUAAUAAUGUUCAUCACCGGGUGUGGGUGCUUAUAUUCUUGCUGCUACCGAUCCAAACUGAGAAAGCAGUAUAACUUGAAAGGAGGCCAUUGUGGCGAUUGCAUGCGUCAUUUCUGCUGCGAGCCUUGUGCUUUGACACAAGAGUAUCGUGAGCUCCAGAACCGUGGAUUCGACAUGUCUAUCGGUAUGUCUACAUACCAAUAUUAUACCCCUUUUAAUUAUUCUUAAUAUAACUUCAAGUAUAUUAAUUGAGUAGCUGUAAACAAAUAUCUCCGAAUAAAUAUGUUAGUAAUGAUGAGAUAAAUUAUUGUUUGAGGUCAUUAAUUUUGUGGGGGUAUAUUUAUAUAUGCAGGUUGGCAUGCAAAUGUGGGAAGAACCCAGGGCUGGCAAUGGCUCCAGCGGUAGAAAAAGGCAUGAGCAAAUAGAUGAUGAUGAUGAUCGCUGCAUUAAUAUCGUCUUUAUAUGUAACACUUAAUUCCUUUGCUUUCCAUAAUUGGUG